rnacentral:lncRNA from 1 species
UGGGAUCUUCCUUCAAGUGAAGUUAAAAGUGGUGAGAAGAGCGGUCCUGAACUUGAUGAAUAUGCUGAAGCUGAGGAACUUGUGAAAGAAAAGGUAAUUCUCCAACAUGGGAGCCUUAUCUUCAGACUUUUUUUUACAUGUGAUAUUUUGUUUAGUGAUUUUGGAAUUGUAAGAUUUAUUUUGUGCUCAUUUAAGCAUUUAUGGAGGUUUCCAGUUUUUCAUAACGGCUUAUGCUUUCUUCGUGUUUUAGGUCUCAAAGAGGCUUACAAAUCCAUUCGAGAUUGUCUGGAAGUCAUUCAGCCUUGUAUUCUUUGCUGUGAGUAUCUUUUUGUCCUUGUUUUCAACAAGAAGUUUGGCUCGAGUUUAAGAAAUAAAAUCUCUGUUUUCCUUCUUUUGCUUUCUUAUGUAUUUAAGUUUAUAAAUUAGAUGGUAACUUCUAUUAGGAUAUCUAUUCACACAAAGAAAAGCUAUUUCAUUAUAGAAUAGUUGAAAUUAGUAUGUUUUAUGUUGGGGUUCCAUGCUUCCGAUUUUACUAUGUUGUAAUUGCUUACAGGAAUGGGGAGAUCGCUCAAUGCUUGCAACAAUUGCUCUUGGUGCUGCUCAGGUUCAACCACAUAAGCUUCUGAUUGUGCCAAAACUAUUUACCUUUUAAUGAUCCAUUAUAUCAGAGCAUAAUUGUCUUCUUACUUCUCCUACAGUCUCCAUGGGGUGUGGCAACUGGAGCCAUUGCUGGACAUCUGGUUGCGACAUCAAUUGCAAUUCUAGGAGGAGCUUUUCUUGCCAACUACAUUUCAGAAAAACUGGUAAGACCCAUGACUUUUUAUCACCGCCACAAGCUCCAGAGCCUUUCAUGUUAUUUUUCCAUGCGACUCACUCUCAUCUUUCAAUCAGGUUGGCUACUUGGGUGGAGUGCUUUUCCUUAUUUUUGCCGUUGCCACAUUUUUUGGAUUUUUCUAAUUAAUGCAUGAGGAAUUUAGAGAGAAUGUUUAGUGCAACUAUAAUGGAGCAUUACACCUGGGAUUAUUGGACAUCAUUUGUGACUAAGAGAAGAAAGUGGACAAAAAGGAGCCUGAAAUGCACCAUGGACAUGGAAUAGUCUAACAGACAUUUCACACUUCAAAAACUCAAGUUAGGAUGGAUAGUUCAUCUAUGUAUGUUAUGUUGUACCUUCUGCUCUUUUUGAAGGAUCACAUAUCAGAAAACUUUAGAUGGAGAGGUGGAUUUGUAUAUUCAAAAAUUUUUCAGUCGCUCAAUUGAACAGGAGUUGUGAAAUAAGAUACUGCCCCUCAGUAUUAUUCAACAUCAAGGACAUGAAAGUUCUGAACACAAGCAAUCUUGUUACAGACUGUCUGCUGUUCCUGAAACCAAGAUGAAGCUACCAUGGUUGAACUAUUGAAAUCUUUCUUGAUCAAAGAUUAUAUGCUUCCCCAUCCCUGCAAUUAUUGUUUAAUUUGGAGUAUAUCUUAAAAUGGUGUGUGCAUCUACAGUUUGGACAGCUUUUAGACGCAUCAAUUGGCAUGAGUCAUGACAGGUGAUUUAUGGCACAUAUGUGGACUUCAUAUCUCCGGCAAUUUAUAGUUCUUGAAAUGUGGUAUAUUUAAUUACAUAAAUGUGAAAAAUUAAACAUGUGGUAGGACAGGCUGAACUUGCUGAAUUGGAUGGACCCUUUUGUGAAGAUCAGCCACAUCAAAGGUUUUGGACUUGGCAAUUAUUUGAAGCAAAAGAAUUCCUUUUUAAGUUUAAAUCAUGGCAGGGCAUGUGAUUCUUUUUGGCUAUCAAGAAAUUUUGGAGGUAGGUAUAGAAGAAGAGAGACAAUUGGAUGACAACCCUGAGAAUUUUUUAGGGUACUCGGUACUAAGGCGGCAGUAGUUUUAUGCAUAUGUUCGCUAAUUGACCACUCUUAUCAACUGAAUAUCGAAUGAAGUAAUUGGUAAUUGUGACAUAUAUUCAUUAUUGAAGUGUAAUAGAAGCUAGGAACCCAGCAUAAAACUAAAGGGGAAUAUGAAAAAUUAGUUCCCUAUAUUCUCCGUUACAGAGAAAAAGGCCAUGAUUUAUUUUUGUUUUUCUUAAAGGAGAACUAGGGUUUAAAGCGGAAUAUAUGUUUACAAUCUUAAAUUUUACAAAAAAAUUAUUGUAACUUUCUGAAGAUAUUUUAUAACAUAUUUAAACUGUUAAAAAAAAAUAAUAUGAAUUAAAAUUUUAGUGUAAUUAUAGUAUAUAUCACAAGAUUCAUAUUGUCAUUUAAUUUUACAAUUAACAAUCAAUAGUAUAAAAAUAAUAAUUAUAUAUAAUAUAUAAAUUUUAAAAUUAAAUUUCACUUUAUAUUUUGUAUACUCAAAAAAUAUAUUUUUGAAUUUAAAUUAAUUUAAAAAUAUUAUAAAAAAUUCACGCUGGCAAGAUCAUCUUAAUUUUAAUUUUAAAUGGUUUAAAAGUAUUAUAAAUAUUUUUAAAAGGUUAAGAGUAACAAUAGGCUAGGGGUUUUCUAGUGUAAAUAUAUAUUCUGCAAUCACCCACAAAUAUAAUGAAAAUAAUGAUGAAUCCAAUCGGGUCAUAUUAAGUAACAUUUUUUUGUUGAACUCAGUAGAUCCACCCAAUCAUUGAUUUAAUUUUAAAAAUACUUUUUUUUUAAAAUAUACCUUGAAAUUAAUUUAUUUCAAAUGCAUCAAAUAAUUUUUAACAUUCGCUCGGUUAAAUUUAAAAUUAAAUCGAAUUAAAUAAAUUAAAAAUUAAAAUUUUAGUAUUUAUAAAAAUUAAAUUGAAUCGAUUUUAAUAAAAAAAUCAAAUCAAACUGAAUCUAUCUGAUUCGAUUCGAUUCAGUUCGAUUUGAUUGAUUUUAAUUUUUAAUAAAUUUUUUAUUUUUUACACUUUAUUUUUAAUAUUUUAAAAUUUAAAUAAAAUAUUUUAAUUUUAAUAUAAUCUAAUAUCUAUAUAUUAUUAAAAAAAAUAUAAUAUUAUCACAAAUCGAUUUUAUUUAAUUUUUUUUAUUAAAAUCGAAUAAAAUGAAAAUAAUUAAAAUUUUUAAAAUUAAAUACUGAAUUAAAUUAAAAUAAAUAAAAAAAUAAAUUAAAAUUUUAAAUCAAUUCAAUAUCAUUAAUGUUUUUUAUUUGAAUCGGAUAUUGAUUAAUGGUAUUUGCAAGUGUCGUUUAUCAAUUUAAAAUUAAAAAUAAAAAAAUUAUUAAUUUAGGAUCAAUAAUAAACUAUUAAUGCGUUUAGACUUUGACCACCAAAUAACGGUUAAAAUUAAUUUUUAGCGCCGAGCGUCAUUAUUAUUUUUUAAAAAUAGCCGGCGCAAUUUAACGCAGGCCAUAAUUUAUUUUUUUUUAUUAAAAUAUUAUAAUUAUAUUAAUAUAUUAUUUUUAUAUUAUAUUACUUUAUAAUUUUAUUUAUAUUAAUUUUUUAUUAUAAUAAAUUUUUUAUAAUAUAUUUUAUUAAUUUUAAUAUAUUAUUAUAAUAAUAUUAUAAUUAAAUAAUAUUAAUUAUAAAUUUAUUGAUAUAUAAUUAUUAUAUUUUAUAUAUUUUAUUAUUUUUAACAUAUAAAAAUUAAUAAAAAAUAUAAAAAAUAAUUUAAAAUUAUAAUAUUAUUCUAUUAUUAAAUAUAUAUAGAAACACUGAAUUAAAUAAUUAAUAAAAAAUAAAAAAAUUAAUUAAUUAAUUAAUAUAAAUAUUUAAAAUUAUAAAAAUUAAAUUUAUUUUUUAUUGGACUAUUAUUGCGCAUUGUACAUAAUUACAAAAAUUACAUUGAAUUAAUAAUAAUUUUAAUUUAAAUAUUAAUAAUAAAAUAUAUUAAAUAUUAAUAUAUUUUAUAUUUAAAUUAUAAAAUAAAAUUAUACUUUGAUUAGAUGGUGUACGUAGUUAUUAGAUUGUUUAUCAUUUAUAAAAACAAUAAAUAUAAUUAAUUUAUUUUAUUAUUAGAUUAAUUAAAUUAAAUUUUUUAAUAAAUUACAAACAAUUGAGUGGCAAAUACUAAAAUAAUAUAAUAAUUCUAAAUAUUGUAUGUAGAUAAUAAUUUAUUUAUAAUUUAUUAAAGAAAAAAUAAAUUAAAUAAUUAAUUCAAUAAAAAAAUUAUAUAUGUUUAAUAAUAAAAUAAUAUUAUAAUUCUAAAUAUUUUUAUAUGCAGUUUUUUACUAUUAAUUUUUAUAAUACUUUUAUAUAUUAAAAAUAUUUUUAUAAAAUAUAAUAAUUAUUUAUAAUUUAUUUUAGUAUUUUAUUGAGUUAUAAAAUAAUACUUGAUGACCGCUGGAUUUUUUCACUCCGGACCAGGGGCUUAACCACAGCUAAAGGCCCAUAACAUAGAGGCCCACGUAUCUGAUAUACCCAACAAGUCUGACUCAUUCAACCUUCAAGACCGGGCUCGGCCCAGCUUCUUCACUCAUAACGACCCAGCCCACACGAAGCAUGCUCUCUCCUCUCAGGCCUAGCGUCCGGCCCGACUCUCGGCCCAACCCAGGAUCCAGAAUAAUAUUCACCAGACAGCCUGGCAGAUCCGCUUAAACGUACGCACGAGGAGAAUCAGAGGCCGUUACGCAUGGAGCAGGCGGCUGAUACCCUAGUACCUCCGAAUCCGCAUGGCAGAGACGCGUGGCCCAAUCCUGGAGAGACCUUUACACGUCACCAGCAAGCAAGACAAUGUAUAAAAGAGGAAUCCCCUCCUCAGGAAACUUAAACCUUAUUCUGUGAAACAUAAACCCUUGUAAAACCCUAUUCUAUUGGAUCUCAGAUCAUCAAUACUAUUAUAUAAUUAAACGUAUAUAAAAUUAUUAAUAUUAUUUAAUUACAAUAUUACUGUUUUAAUAUAUUAAAAUAAUAAAAAUUUUAUUACUGAAUAAAUAUUUUCAAUAUUAUUAAAUUAUUUUUAUAAUUUUAAUUAUAAUUAAAUUAUUUUUAUAUAUUUAAUGGUAAUAUAAUAUUAAUUUUAUAAUUUUAAAAUUAUAUAAUACCAGUAAAUUUUUAUUUAAAUAUUAAUAAUAAAAUUUAUUAAAUAUUAAUAUAUUAAAAUUAUAAAAAAAUAUUUAUUAUUAUAAAAAUAUAAUAUAAAUAAUAUUAUUAACUAAUAUAAUAUAAAUAUAUUAUUAUAAUAUAUUAAUAAUAAAAAAAUAAAAAAAUUAAUAUUAACUUAACACUUUAAAUAAUGUCAUUUAAAAAAUAAAAAAUAAAAUAAAUAAUGAUAUGACACCAUUUAAAAUAUCACAUAUUAUUAUUUUUAAAAAAAAUCUUAACACUUUUAAAAGGCAUCAAAAGUCAUUUUUUAUGGCUAUCGGUCAAAUCUCAUCUAUAAAUAUCUUGUAUUUAAUUUUAAAUUAAAUUUUUUUUUAAUUUUCAAAUCUAAAUCAUUUUUUAUAGCUAUCUGUCAAAUCUCACCGUCAAAUUUCACAUCUAUAAAUAUUUUAUAUUUAAUUUUAAAUUAAUAUUUUUUUUUUUUUUCAAAUCUAAAUGAUAAAAGUCAUCCUUGCGACGACAAGUGGCUCAGACCUGCUAGAUUAUAACGAAAACGCCAGCUCUUAGCCCCAGUUAGUUGAGUAUACUCGGGAAGAAGAUUGGGAGAAAGCCGGAGAUGGAACCGAAUUCUCAACCCAAUUCUACACAAGACUGGCCUACAAGAGCAUGGAACCUACUCUGUAAACUGCGGGACCAAUCACCGCUUGUUCAGUGCAUCACCAACUUCGUUUCCAUGGAUUUGAUGGCCAACACUCUCCUAUCUGCCGGUGCAUCUCCGGCUAUGAUCCACUCUAUUGAAGAAAUUCCCGACUUCACUCCUCAUGCUCGUUCCCUCUGUAUCAACGUUGGCACUUUUUCCCUUAACCGGCUACCAGCCAUGAAAGCUGCUGCGGAGUUGGCAACUAAAUUCGGGAAGCCUUGGGUUCUUGACCCCGUUGCUGCUGGAGCUUCCGGUUUCCGGCUGAACGCUUGCCUGGAGCUUGUGGGAAUGAAGCCCACUGUUAUUAGGGGAAAUGGGUCGGAGAUCAUCGCUCUAUCUAAGGCUUCUCUGGGCGCCUCCAAGGUAUUAUAGUUUGAUGUUUGAUAUUUACACUUUGUACAGAGCAAUUUUUCAUGUCAGUUUCACAAUUUAAAUUGGGAUGCUUGCAUUUCUUUUUUGGGUUCUAUCUUAUUUAUACGUGUAUAUAUAUAUAUAUAUAUUCUGAUUUCAUAAAUGGAUUUCGUGUUAAAGGGUGUAGACAGCUCCCAUGAGUCGAUUGAUGCAAUAGAAGCAGCAAAGUCUUUGGCUCAAGCAAGUGGUGCCAUAGUUGCGGUUUCAGGUGCUGUUGAUAUCAUCACAGAUGGAAACCGAGUGGUUGGUGCUCACAAUGGGGUACCCAUGAUGCAGAAAAUUACAGCAACAGGAUGUGCAGUCACAGCCCUCAUUGCGGCUUUUGUUGCUGUUGAUCCAUUACAUGCUCUGGAAGCAACAGCUUCAGCAUUGUCCAUAUUUGGGAUUGCUGGUGAACUGGGAAUGAAAAUGGCCAAAGGACCAGCUUCAUUGCGGAUGCACUUGAUUGAUUCCCUUUAUGGGCUUGAUCAAUCUGCUCUGCUUUCACAUACAAAGAUCACCAGCCUGUAAUAAUCCUUUGGGAGCUCUGUGCAAUUAAUGUGUCAAUUAUAUUAGGUUUCCAAUCUAGAUUUGCCCACAAAUUUUCUUUUGAAAUUCUUUUGUUUCUGGCUACACAGAAGAGUCCAUGCAUGAUGUUCGUCCUUGUGGAAAUCAAAAAAAGCAACCAACCAUAUGCUGUAUUCCAUCACCAUUUCUGUUGGAAGCAUCUAAUACAGAUGCAUUACUACAGAACCAUUAACAAAGAGAAAUCAGAAACAUUCAUUUUUACAACAAUCCCACAUUUAAUCCAGUUAUACAACAUGCUUAGUGUUUUAGAUGGACAAUUAUCCUCAGUAAUGUUUCUGCACCGUCUAUGGCAUGCUGACCAGGUGGAAUGAGUCCUCGCAACUCUGCAAUUCCAACAGCAUUUUUAUACUUACCUGUUCCACCAGUCACUGACAAAUGUGACAUUGCACUUCCAAUCUUGUAUAUGCCAUAGAAGUUGAGGCUGUCCCCAAAUUCUCCUCCUUCAAAGAUCGCUGUAAAUGCCAUCAUCUGUGUGCUCCCAUCUGCAGAACUUGCAAUGUAAACUCCUUGAGCUUUUCCCAGUUGCUGUGAACCAAGUUCAGGGCUGGUGGUCAAGAUGUCGUCAAUGACAGUGAUGGUUCCAAAGCCUAGUCCCAACCCGUCCGGUCCCAGCUGGGUUUGAACUUGACCAUUUGGGUUCUGACCAUUGGGAUUUCCUGCAAAAGCUGUACCAGCCAAGCCAGUUCCCAGUGGAAUGCCAUUGAUACCAUUAACAGUUGGAAUAGCGCCAUUGGCGUUAGGGAUUGCUACUGCACCGUCUGGGGGAAUAAAUCCUACUGGCUUGGCAAAGGGUACUUGGCCACUAUAAAUGUUUCCCAGCAAGCCGGUGAUUGGCCUAGCAGUGGGGUUACUCCCCCCAAGAAUGUCAUGCAUGUACAACUCAAGAACAGGCUCUUCGCCGACCAGAGUAGGGUUAAUUGCAGCCAAAUAUGUUGCCAUGUUUACAGUAGCAAUCAGCACUGCAAUGAAAAUAGAAAGUGAUGGUUGGUUGAACAUCCUUUGAUUUCUGUAUUUGAGGUCCCUGGGGAUCUUUAGAUGAGUAUGCAAGUGGCUAUGCAGCUUGCUCUUUAUAAAGAAACCAAGGAAGAAAAAAGGUGGAGUAGGUGUUAGACUUCGAAGGUGGUGAAGUUGUUAGAGUUGCAUUAGAUAUGGAGGAGUGGAGUCUGAUGCAUGAUAGAUUUUGCCAAUGUUGUCAAAAUUUAACCAAACCCACUGCAUCAUUUCAAAAUCUCAGUUUUUUCCAAUUUCAUCUAGUAGCAAGCAAGCAGCACAGACAUUUUUAUGCAACCCAGUUUAGAUAUGAUAACUAGAAGUAAAUUUUUUUUUUUUUUGCAGGCCAAUUUUAAUUAGUUUCUGAAUUAUAGUUUAGUUAAAUUGAGUCCAAUAGGAAAACUACUGCCUGCUAGAUUAAUAUCUAAGUGUCUAAUUCUGUAGUGUGGCAGGUGCAACUGAAUCAAACAUCGUGAAAUGACUUGAUCCUUUGUUUUGAAUAAGAAGGAAAAAGAAUUGAAAUUGAAGCUUGAGAUACAUCCAUCUGAUGGUGGCAUAUUUCUUUUGAUGCAAAUUUUUCAAAGUAAAAAAUUUUAAUUUUUUUUAUUCUAAUUAAAAAUUUUAUAAGAAAAAAAUUAAAUUUGAAUUGAAAUUAGUAUUUUUUUAUAUCGAAUAAAAAGCUGGAACUUGCUAUUAGUAGAUGAUAUAUUCAUUUUUAUGAAAGUAUAUUUUAUUUUUUAAUAAAUAUUUUUAAUCACUUCUUUAAUUUUUUAUAAAUAAAAAUAGUAGUUUUAAAUAGAUUUAUGAACUUCCAAUUGAAAAGGGAAAAUCGCACUACUCAAAAAAUAGGUUUAUGAACCAAACGGCGACGUUGGCAAGGACUGGCACGUCGUUAAUCACAGACAUUAUCCAACCUGCAAAAUCAGCAGCAGUUUCUGGGCUGUGGCGGGAAGGAUCAGAAUCAAUUAACGAGCGUCGUUAAGAUAACUGACUGCCAGAUUAUUUAUUUCAGACCCCCUGUCGACGCGGCUUAUCCCCAACUCAAGCCCUAAGUUCCCCAAAAUGUCUUUCCUCGAGGAAUUCCAAGCCAGUAAGCUCUCUUUCUCUGUCUUUUUUUAAAAAAAAAAAAAAAAUUUCAGGAUGGUCUCUAAUCAGCUUCUUAAGCAAACCCUUUUCACAUUUUUUUCUUUUUCCCAUCGUUGUUUAAUUGGGAAAAAAAAAAAAGAAACAAUCUUUACUGUGAGGAAGAAAAUUAAGGCAACAGCAUUGGUUUCUUAUCAACUUUCAAAAUCUGAUGACGAUUUGAACUGAAACCUUUUUUAUCUGGUUUCUUAUUUUACCAGAAUUUGAAGGGUUCUUGUGUAAAUCUUGUAUUGGACUGAUAUCUUACGUUAUCUAGAUUCAUUUCCGUCGUCAUUUUGAUGGUAGAGUUUAUGAGUUUCACGAGUCCCUCGUCAAAGUUGAUUCUUUCUUUGGGCUUGAAAUACUUUUACACUCUGUUUGGAAGGUGUUAGAUUAAACUAAGGUUUUUUUAAGGUAUUGUUUUUUAAGUUAAGGUUUUUUAUGGUUUUUAAAUUUUAAUAAUUUUUUAUUGUUUGGGAAGAAAUAAAGUUAAAAUCUUCUCAACCUACCAAUUUGGAAUUGGUGGGUUGAAAUUUAAGAUCUUACUUUAAAACUAUCACUCCCUCCCAAACACAAGUUUAAGGUUUUUAAACUAUAAAAAACCUUCUAUUAUCUUAAAAAACCUCCUCCCAAACAGAGUGUUAUGCUUAGUGGAAACAAGUGGCUAUAGUGACAAAUACUUGUGUGCAUUGUCUCGUUUGCUUGCAUACUUGAGACUGGAUAACGGAAGUCUCUAGAUAAUGCAGGUUCUUGACUUCUUCAUUGACAUUAGUUUGUUUAGAAUUCAUUAUUUGAGAAAAUGUAGUAUUUGUUAAUAGUAAAUACAGAAGGGAUUUUCCAUUUUAGCUUAACCUUAUCUCUAUCUCCCUUCAAACAUUUGCAACUCCUUCAGGGAUUAAUACUUAUACUCAUGGCACUACAUGCUACAACCCAUUUGGAACACUAGAUAUGUUGUUUUUAUCAUAGAGCAGUACUGUUGUCUAUUUGUUGUCUAUUAAUGAAUGACCUUAAAAGUUAAAAUUGAUUGCUUGUACAGAUCUGGAAUCGCUGCCCAAUAUUCUGCAGAAGAAGUAUGCCUUGUUACGUGAUCUAGAUAAAAGUUUGCAGGGUAGGCCUUACACUGAAGAGAAAUAUUAAUGAUAAUAACUUUGUUAUAUUCUUCAUAUUUUGUUUUUCCUUCUUUUCUAUCAAUACUAUUCCUUAUUGUCUUCUAUUUGUCUAUUACCUAAUAUCCUCAUGAUCAUUGCAUUGUUUGAUGGAUAAAGUACCUGCAUAAUCACGUUGAAGUUGUUGAAACAUCAAUUAAUUGAUCACCAUUACUUGUUUGUCUACAUCUGCUUGUGUGAUAUUUACAUGCAGUUUUUCUGAUGUGGAUGAGGAUGACAUCUUGUUUAUGUUACUAAGUUGAGAGUAUUUAUGUGUUCAGGUCUUUCUGGAAGAUGUGGGUAUCUCUUUCAUGUGUUUUUACCUGGACAUGUCAUUUUGCAAUGAAUCUAUGAUGUAUAUGGGACAAGGAAGAGGUCACGUGUUUGUGUCUGUGUGUGUUUAGCCCUUUGCAAUAUAUUUUGCAUUUUUAUCCUCUUUGCAAUCCUGCAAUAUACUGUGGUGUUCAACUUGUAAUGCUUAGAAUUAUUUCCCCUUACAUUGCAAUUCUCGCCUUUCCCCCACUAUUGGCCAAUUGCAUAAACUGAAAAUUUUAUUAAGGUUUUUAGUUUCUGUACUUCUAUCCUUCUCUCAAGCAAAACCUUCUGCUUGUCUUCUAAAAAUAUGUGAGCAGAAAUCCAACGACAAAAUGAGCAACGUUGUGAACAAGAAAUUGAUGAUAUUAAGCAAGGAGUAAAGGCUGGAAAUAUUACACCUGAUACCUCACUUAUCAGAUUCUCGGAUGAGGCGCUUGAUGAGCAAAAGCAUAGCAUUAGAAUUGCAGAUGAAAAGGUUGCAUUGGCUGUCCAAGCAUACGAUUUGGUAUGUCUAAUAUCUUGUUAUAUUAUUCUUAGAUAAUUAAUACAAUUAGUAGUUGGGACAAGUGUGUGAUGUUACCCAAGUUUAUGUGACUAGCAUCAUGCUUAUAUUUCUUAAUGUUUUUCUUUUUAUUGUUGCUUGAUCUCCUAUUGCAGUUGCAAUUUCUGGGCAUUACUUGAUAGUGCAUUUUUUAUUGAAGAAAUGGAAAACCUAUAUAGGAAAUAAUGAAAAUGCUGAUGAGAUAUAGCUUCAAAAGAUCACAGUUUCAAUACAUUUUUAUUAACCACAUGACCAGGCUCUGGAAUUGUUAUCUUAUGACAAAACCUUUCUUAAACUCUUAAUUUUUCAGGUUGUAAUUGGGAGGUAUGCUGGUUUGUUUCAAUAAUCUUUCUACUUCUGACUAAUCAGACCAAUCUCUGAAUCUUUUUCUUAAAACACUGCAAUAAGAAAUACAAAAUCAUUUUGGUCACUACGAGGAGAAUGUUCUUCACUGUAAAAGUAGUAUUGAUGCCAUUUCUCAAUAUAAGCCUGGCAGUUAAUCCAACAAUUCAUUUCAGGAUUAUUGAUUAGUUGCACCUUUAAUUGCUCCAAGUCAAGUCAAGUCAUUUCUUUGCCAAACACCUCAGAGAAAGUUGCAACUUUAGUGGAAGGAAACUUCAGGAUUUUAACACUGGACCAACACCAUGUUCAUUACUGCCCUACUUUUAAUACCUUGUUAACCUUUCUAUUCUAAUGAUGCUUCAGGUUGAUACACACAUACAACAACUGGAUCAAUAUCUAAAAAAGUUUGAUGAGGAGCUUCGACGAGGUAAUUUUCUUGUUUACCUUUGUUACAACAUCCUUUUUAUAGUUUCUCAACAGAUUAUGUUAUAUUUCUCUCCUGAUCAAUUAAGAUAGAUCAAUUUUAUCUGUCAUCCUUAGACUUGCGGUCUUGUUAUCAAUUUGAAUGUUAAUAAAGUAUCUCUUAUUAAAUAGUCAGUUUCCUUGUCAUAAAAAUUCACAUGACAGGUCAACCAAAAUUUUAACUUUUUAAUUAAAAAUAAAUUCUUGCAACUUCUCUCUCUUCCCCUCUCUCACAGUCUCCUCUAUCCUCUUCUUCUUUAUCAUCUACUUUGCUAUCCUUUACAGUCUCGACUUCAGCUGCCUUUUGCCCUUUCCAUUGUGUUUGGCUUCCACUUUCACUUCAUCUUUUUGGGAUCAUCAGCAUGGACACCAAUGUUGAAGAGCAAGAGGUUGAAAUGGAAGAGGCUGGUGACGCUUGAUAUUCUAGCCAUGAAAAUGAGUUUUGGAGGCCCAAUCACGUCAGCAAUUGAAGAAGCAGAGAAUGUGAGAGGGUUAUCUAUUAAUCUGAAUUGUAAAAGAGGGAGGAAAGAGGCUGUGGAGGAUCACUUCUCUGCUGUAUACUUUGUCUUACUUUCUUAAUAUCUAUCAUUUUUGGAGGAAUAUGCUUUAAUUGGAUUUAUCUGGUGAAGGAUCAAACAAAUUGGGUUGUUGGUGGUGAGGUAGAAAUAGAGGUUAAUGUUGUGGAUUUGACUAUAAAUAACCAAAGUGGUCAAAAGGAUUCAAGAAAUCAAAAUGUACAAGGAAGAUGAAGAGGCUCUGGGAGAGUAUGGCGGUGGAGAGGAAGCGACAAGACCUAAUUUUUCAAGUGAGUACUCAGCAGAGAAGGACAAGGAGGCUGCUGCUAUCAGAUAAAAUCUUGGACCUUCCCCAUUCUUUAUAGUCCUCACACUCUACUCAACAUCUCAUCUCCCAAAUUUGGCGCAUGGUUGUUGAUUCUCAAUCUGUUGAUUUUAUUUAUUUUGAAAUUAGUAUGGUUUGUUAGAUUUGGGAAUAAAACUUUUUGGACUUCAUUAAUUUUUGUAAUGAUUCUUUUUAUUGAAUUUGAAGUGAGAUUGAUGUAUUUGUUGAUUUGGAAGGAGAAUAGGAAUAGUAAGAAAUCAUUUGGGUUCCUCCACAGUUAGAAAUCAUGGUUCUCAGUGAGUUAGAUUUGGGUUCUCCCAUUUCAGUUUGUUGAUUGCCCAUUGUGUUGUAUUUGAUUUAUGUUUCUUAGGAUUGAUUUUUGUUUGAGAUUACAUAUUAAUCUCUUUCUAGGAUCAAUCCCUUUUUGGUUUUGAGAUCAAUCUCUUAUAGGCUUUUUGCAAAUGAGUUGUAAGAGGAGAGAGAGAAAAGAGAGAGAUGAUGGUCAGGGAGGGAGAGGGAAAUGCCAACAUGGAGAUGGCAAACAGCAGUAUGGUUUUAAAUAACAUAAUGACCGUUUUUUACAAGUUUGGCACGGCCCAGUUACCUCAUUAUUUAUAGGAAUUCUUUGAGCUGUGUGGGUAACAAGUAACAUCCAGUACCACUGUUAAUGAUAACGACCAUUACCCCCACUAUGCAGCUACUACAAAUUACAUGCGAGCAGUGUUUUUUUUUUUUUUCUGUUACUUUUNNNNNNNNNNNNNNNNNNNNNNNNNNNNNNNNNNNNNNNNNNNNNNNNNNNNNNNNNNNNNNNUCUGCAUGUUCUAGCUUUCUGCAUCUAUUGUUUGUAUCACAUUCUCUCAAAAUUUCAUCUAAAUUUCUCCUUUUUAUUCAAAUUUCUCCCAUUAAGCUUGGUUCAUCAUAAAUAUCUCUUUUUCUACAGUUAGUUCUAGCAAAAGGUGAGCCUUAUUUUCUAAUUUUUGCUAUUACUUUUCAUAUUUUAUGUAUUUUAGCUGUGUAUCUUAUGCUUAUUAUAUAUAGUGUGUCUAUAUAAGGUCUUUAUUUGAUGUAUUUAUGCUUAUAUGAUUUUGUAUCUUAAUUUCACUUGUAGUUACCAUUAUCUACUCGUUUCAUGAACUUUGCAAUUUUUCAAAGGAAUUUAUUUGCCUAUUUCCAUUACGGUUGACCACGAGCACGAUUUAAGACCAUUGGUUGCAAGGAUUUUAGCAUAAUCCAAAUUGAUCUCAUGGAGUUGUGUUACAAAUUUGAAUUUAGGAAUGAUGCUGUUAAAGUGCCUUAAUUUUGGGGAAGAACAAUGGACGAAAUUUACCCCACUUAAGUAUCUUGACCUGUUUCGUGCAUUUGUCCUAACUGUAUGUAAUAAUGUUUUUGUGUGUGUUUUUUUUCCAAUAGAAAGAGAGAGUGCUGCUGCAACUGCAUUGCCUGGUUCAAGUGUUGAUGGUAGUGCUAAAACUGGAAGUGGUAGAGGAGGGCGCAAAAAGUAUCAUUCUCUUUUAUUUUUGCUUUAUUAAUGUUUUGUUGAUUAUUUGAUCUAGAAUAACUUGAUUAAGCUUUUAAAUUUAUAGUAUUUAACACUUAUGGAAGUUACAUGUUGAGUUCUGAUUUGGUUAAUGUUUCUUCUAUCAGCUUUCUUUGAAUUAUGGUUUAAAGUUCUUUUUUUUAAAUGGAAGUAAGUUUUUGUAAAUAAAAUCAUUCCAAAUGUGAGGGAUUUCUUAGUUCAUGACGAUGGUAAAAAGGGAAACUCAAAGAGAGCACAAAUGUUCCACAACUGAUUAAGAACAAAAAUAUGAGAGUUUAUGAGGCACUUUGCUGGGGGACUACCCAUCUAUAGUGGAGCAUGAAUAUGCAUGCAUUUGAGAAUUGAGAUAAUUUCUCAUACAAAAGUGGUUAUGCAGACCAUUGAUUUAAAUUACUGUUACGGCCAUGUUCGCAGUCGCGGUUACAGGCAAUGAAAACAGGCCUGUAAGUGCCAUAGUGUAACAGUAAUGACCUAUCGCUUUGCAAAUUUUAAAAAAAAAUUUGCGGAACUCAUAAUACAACAAGAUUUACGUGGUUCGGUUAUAAGAACCUAUAUCCACGGACAUAAAACCUCAAAGGGCUAUAUCUUUAUUUAAUAGAAUUCUAAUGGAGGAUCCAAGUCACCUAUGAUAUGAUGUUGUAAAUUAAGGGAUUCUCUAACUAUAAUAGAAAUAUAUUAAAUUCCCCUAUUUUAAGAAUAUAUAGAUAUAUAUUAUGUUAGAAUAGAAAUCCUAUAUUAAAUAAGAAUAACUUUCCAUAACACUCCCAUUAAUUGUAGCAUAAAAUCUCAUCAAUUCUAACACUCUCUUGAUGAGAUUGUACGCAGAAGCCAACAAUUUUCUCAUAACAGCUUACAACCAGUAACUUAUAAACAUAUUCAAAAACACUUGCACAAAAGCACCUGCACAAAGUACCAAAAUAUUAAUCGAUCCUUAGAAUUGCACUUCUCUCUCUAGAAGCAAUGUCGACGAGAAAAUAUCAACACAAAAUCCCUCUCCAAAGACAAUACUGGUGAGAAAAUAUCAAUGCAAAAUCUCUUUCCAAGGGCAAUAUCGGCGAGACAACAUCGACACAAACAACUCAUAGGAUUGAACAAACCACACUAAUCAAAUACAAACAUAGGUGUGAACGGUGCCAACAUCAACACAAACAACUUAUAGGAUUGAACAAAACACACCAAUCAAAGACACCUAUGUUACAAUACUAUAAGUUAAGAUAUUCUCCAACUAUAAUAGAAAUAUAUCAUAUCCCCCUAUUUUAGGAACAUAUAAAUAUAUAUUAUUCUUUUUAUUUCGGAGUAGAAAUCCUAUAUUAAAUAGGAAUUACUUUCUAUAAUGCUCCCCUUAAUUGUAGUAUAAAAUCUCAUUAAUUCUAACAAUACUCAAUCAAAUAAUAAGUAUUAAUAUAUUAAAUAAAGACAUCCAAUAUCCAACAUUAUUUUCUUUAACAAAUAAUACUCAAAUUUUCUAAGGUAUAAAUGUGUAGGAUUAGAAAGAUAAUUGAUAAUCUUAGCUUAAGAGAAAAGGAGAGAGACAUUUAUACGUAGAUAGAUAGUUAAUUUUUUAUGGAAAUUUGAGAAAAGUGAGAUACAAUAGCAUAAAACUAACCAAUUUACGGAGGAAAAAAAAGAGUUGUUGCCUCCAUAUAGCUUUAAAAAAUCAGGUUACAAACCAUACCGUUACAUAAUGGUAAAUAACAGCCAUUACCGUUGUACAACGACUGUAAUGGCUGGUACAAGAAUAAAAUUUUCUCUGCCUUUUAAAUAACGGGUGUAACGGUAAUUGAAGAGUCAAAAGCCUGUAAAUAACAUAAUGACAUUUAUUUAAAACCAUGAUGCAGACAUGCCAAGUAUGUGUAUGUGAGGGGAAUUCUUUAAAUUGCCUUCUGUUGGAUGAAGAGUCAAAAGCCUAUAAAUAACAUGACAUUUAUUUAAAACCAUGAUGCAGACAUGCCAAGUAUGUGUAUGUGAGGAGAAUUCUUGAAAUUGCCUUCUGUUGGAUGAAGUUUUACUGCAUUGAUUUAAGAUUCUGCAUGAAAUAACAGGCAUUUAUAAAUUUUGUUAAGUUGUACAAUUGGCUACUGGAAUUUAUGCAGAACGCGACUGGCUACAGCAACAGCAGCAACAGAAGCAGCAACAGCUGCAACUUCAGCACAUCCUACUGGUAUGGAAUUAGAUUGUCCAGUGGAUCCAAAUGAACCAACCUACUGUUUCUGCCAACAAGUUAGCUAUGGAGAGAUGGUAGCUUGUGAUAACCCUCAUGUAAGUAAUGAAAUUCCUUUUGGCCAUUCUCUUCCAAGCCUCUUAUGUUAAAAAUGUCUAAUCAUCUUCUAUUUAAGACUGCAAUUUGAUGAAAGCUUCUACUCUUUUAACAGUGCACUAUAGAAUGGUUCCACUUUGGCUGUGUUGGUCUGAAAGAACAACCAAAAGGGAAAUGGUAUUGUUCAGAUUGUGCUGCUGUGAAAAAUCGACGUAAAGGCAGAUAAAGUGGAGUUCUUUGUUCUGGGAAUCAGUGUUAUGGAUUUGUGUAGCUAUGAUGUUUUGGAUCUGUAUAGCUGUGAUGUUGAAUUUAGUUUUUCCUUUUCCUUUUCCCCCCGAAUUGGUAGAUGAUCGCUGCUUGCAUUGGAAAUGAAUUUAUUUUGCUGAACACACAAGCCCAUCUCUUUGUGUUGUGAAUGAUUCUAUCUCCUGCAUGCAUGAGCAAGUGCAAGGACACAGGCUCUUCCUUGUAGCAGGGAAUGGUUUCUUUUUUUUUUUUUUUGUCCCUUCUAUAGUGAAGUUCAACUUAGUAAGCUGCAAUGCAAUAGGGAUUUAGAGUUCGCCUCCAAGGAUGAAUGGCACGUAGUACUAGCAGGACUCCAGGUUAUAGGAGUAAAAUAUGAUCUGAGCAAGGGAUGCUGGAGUAGCAUAUAGAUUUGAACUAUGCAAGAGUCGCAUUUCGUUAAUGCAACUUCGAAUAAUUCACUCCCAGAGUAGAUAUUAACCUUAAACUAGUUGUUUUGUUCUGUCUGCGCAUCGCAUGAAUUAUUUUAUUAUUUUACUUUUCUUUCACACGACUGAUUACAGCUUAUUUGCAUGUUAAAACUAUAUUAAAUUUCACCUAAAGCAUGUGAACUUAUGUAAAGUACAUGAACAUGUAAAUAUUAGAAUUUUAAUUGACAUGAAUCAUGUCGUCACAUUACUAGAAAAUUGAUUGUUGCAGAUGAUGUAUACCCUUUCGAUAUAAAGAUAAGUUCAUGCAUUUAUUGUUACAAGUUAAAAUUCAUGUACGCUAAUUACAAACAUACAACUUCAUGUACUUGUAUAUAAAAUUUAGCCCAAUUUUAACUCGUAAACACGUGCACUUUUUAAGAAACCACAAUUAAUGUUCACAUACUUAUAUUAUAAAUUAAAGUUCAUAUACCUUAUUGAUAUUAAUUUUAAAAAUUAAUAUAUUUCACAGUAGAUUGAAUCAGAUACUCUCUUGUUUUGUGAUUGUCAUGUACGGUAUACACACAGGAAUGAAGAACGUCCACUGCAAAACACUUGCAUCUCUCAAAAACAGUAACAUUGUUUUAUUUCAAGGGGAUGACAAAAGUGCCGCUACAUUGUCCCUGCAAAGGACAACUCGAGAUGAGUUUUAUCUUGAAACUGUCCGAUCCCCGGACUUGCUACCUACAGACCUCAAUAUGAUUACACAGAUGCCUUUGGACCAUGACAAUGAUCUGUUUAAAAAUUUUUUUUUGAAAAAAAAAAUUAUUAUAAGACCCGUAUGGAUUUUGGUGACUGUUCACUCCUAACUAGGACCGAUGCUUCAUGAUGACCAUCAAUAAUCCAUGCCCAUGCCCGGUGCCAUUCCUGGAGCGUCCUUCUCAUCCUUUGGAAGUUCAGAUACAAUUGCCUCAGUUGUUGUCAUCAAUGAUGACACACUGCAUGCACAGAUAACAUAAAAUGCUAGUUGGUAAGCAAAAAUAAAAAUAUUUAACCACUAAACUACCAAAGUUUAUAUGAUCACCUUGCUGCAUCAAUUAAAGCAGUUCUAAUUACUUUCAAAGGAUCAACAAUCCCUGCUUUCACCAUAUCAACGUAUUCACCUGGUAAUGCAGCAAAUAUACCAAUCAAUUUAGUAUUUAAAUGGGUAUGCAAUCUACAUCUAUAAACAAGAAAAAAGAAACAGCAACAGACCUUUGGCAGCAUCAUAACCAAGGUUAUGGUCAUCCUGCUCUAAUAGCUUGCCAAUCACAACAGCUCCUUCCACUCCUGCAUUACUCGCGAUUGUAUGUACUGGAGUCUGCAAUUAAAGGAAAUGCAACAUUUAAAUAGCAUGCAUUUUCAGAAAGUUGUUCUGAAACUGGACACACAAACCUUUAGAGCAUUCUGAAUGAUUUGGACACCAAUCUUUUGGUCGAAGUUGUCAGUCUGUAACUCAGCCAACUCUUUUGUGGCAUAAAGAAGAGCAACACCACCACCUGCAAAGAAGAUAACAUUUAAAAAAAAAAAACAAACUUUUGAUCCUAAAUGGUACUCUCCUAACAUGGGCACAUAUAGAAAAAAAAAAAUUAAGAAAAGAAAAAAAGAAGAAUAUGUUACCUGCCACAAUACCCUCUUCUACAGCUGCCUUUGUAGCAUUUAAGGCAUCUGUAACCCUGUCUUUCUUCUCACCAACUUCAGCUUCACUAGCUCCUCCAAUCUGCAACAGCAAACUUUCACUAAUGUUAUCCAGCUCAGCAAAAGGCAGUAUUUACCACCUGAACCAGUCAGAAUUAAAAGGACUCUGCCAGCACAAAAUCUGUCUUCUUUUUUUUUUCUGGUGAGCUGGCAAAAUAGUACAAGCUGUUGACAGUAAGUAAGAAUAACCUUAAGAACAGCAACACCUCCAGAAAGCUUUGCCAGUCUCUCUUGCAAUUUCUCUUUGUCAUAGUUUGAAGUGCUCAACUCUAUCGCAGACCUUAUCUGUAACCACAAUAGUAUGCAUCAAUCAGGUCUUCAUAUUUGCAUGAAAAGAUGUCUUUAGAUAUCCAAAAGUGUCAAAAAAAACACCUGUUCGCAUCUUUCCUCAAUGGCUUUCUUGUCACCAGCGCCAUCAAGAAUAAUUGUAUCAUCCUUUGACACCGUAAUCUGAAAGGGAAACAAAAAUUAUUAUGCAUCCAGAUAAAUAGUUCAAUAUCAAUUUGCAACCAGAUCCUGUCCCAUCUCACAUAUUCAGAGCUUGCAGAACACCCUCAGGGUCAGGGGUAAGCCAUCACCACCGCAUGGCUAAGCUACCAAAAUCAUAAAAUAAACUUUCAGCUUACCUUUUUGCAACUUCCAAGCAUAUCUAAAUCCACCUUUUCAAGAUUGAGGCCAAGUUCUUCGGUUAUCACCUGCAGAACAGAAGCAUUGAUUUCAAUCAUAAAAACCAUAAUAAUUGCACACAGGUAUUCCAAUAUACGAGCAGAAGUAAACUCACCUCACCCCCUGUGAGAACAGCAAGAUCCUGUAACCCAGCCUUCCUGUUCUCUCCAAAACCAGGAGCUUUUAUGGCGCAAACCUAAGCAAAACAUAAAUUAAUUUACCAAAAAAGUACAUAAAAACACUAAUCAAGAAUUCAGUUAACUCAAAACAAAGGAAAUUCAUAUAAAGGAUUAGCCCCAAAAACAUAAUCAAACCUUUAUUCCAGCACGAAGCUUGUUUAAAAUAAGGGUUGCUAAUGCCUCACUUUCCACGUCUUCAGAAACAAUUAACAAAGGCCUUUGUCUCUGAGCAAAGACAAGAAACUCUUGUCAACACAUAACCAAAUGUGAAUAUACCAUUUAACAAAGGAUUUGAAAUAUUCUCCAAUCUGAAUGCUUGAUGAGAAAGCAACGGGUACCUUCAAAGCUAACUCUAAUACUUUCACCAUAGCAUGUAUGCUAGAGAUUUUCUUCUCAUGGAUCAAAAUGAGAGGAUCUUCUAAUUCCUGUAAGCAAAAGGGCAUGUACACAACUAAGUCUGAAAUCAGGAAAAUUAAAUAAAUGACUAGAAGGAACAGUUAUCGUAACCUUCCAGCCAUCUGGACACCACAAAAUUUUAAAGAUAUAUGCUAUGGCCAAUGAUUUUGAAUCAAAAGAAAUAGAGGCUUACACAUUUUUGGUUUUUCUGGUUGGUGAUGAAAUAAGGGGAUAUGUAGCCCCUGUCCAGCUUCAUUCCUUCAACAACUUCCAGCUCAUUAUCUAGUGUCUUCCCAUCCUGCAACAGUUAGAAAUAAAUUAAGACCCAACUGUACAUGAGAAACAAAGCAACGCAAUCCCCCCAACCAAGAAGAAGAUGUUCUGAUAAAACAUCAAAUCUAAAAUAAUUUACCAACACCAAUUUUGCCAACCCUAAGUAAAAGCAAAGAGGUGCUCUGAGGCCAAAUUCAAUGAAUCAAUGUGUGUCAACAUGAUUCAACUUACUUGGAUUGUAAUAACUCCCUCUUUGCCGACCUUCUCCAUGGCCUUUGCAAUUAACUCACCAAUUUCUCUCUCUCCAUUUGCAGAUAUUGUACCAACUUGUGCUAUUUCUUCAGAUGUGCUGAUCAUCCGUGCUCUGCUCUUCAAAUUGGUAACAACAGCAUCAACAGCCAUGCUGAUGCCUCGUCUCAGGUCCAUUGCAUUCAUUCCUGCUGCAACAGACUUGCAUCCCUCUGUGAAUAUUGCUCGAGUAAGAACAGUGGCACAAGUGGUCCCUGCAUCAACAUAGAAAGAAAGAUGUCCAUUACAAAAUAGUGCAAGCACAGAUUUCCUGAGUAUGAGAGCUACCAUAAGCCAACAAUCAAGGAAACAAUAGUUAGAUAAUGGUAGACAUUAAAAUGUUACCAUCUCCAGCAACAUCAUUGGUGGCAUUUGCAACCUGCUUUACAAGGCUAGCACCAAUAUUCUUGACUUUAUCCUUGAAUUCAAUGCUCUUUGCAACAGUCACCCCAUCUUUUGUCACUUUGGGGGCUCCAAAGCUUUGUUCGAUAACUACGUUCCGCCCCUACAAAUUACAAAAUAUAAAUCACAAUUGACAACCAUCAUUAACUUGUUAGCUAAAAACAGAAGUUUCCAGAAAGAAACAUGGAUUUAAAUUGCGGCCAUGUUCGUGGUCGACACAGGCAGUGGAAACAAGCCUAUAGUGGCCAUGAAGGUAACGGCCUAUACAAAUUUUUUAGAAAAAAAAAACUGCAAAAACACAUGAAAUAAAGAGAUAUUUCAAGAUAUGAGUAUAACUAAGAUACUCUGAUCAAACAAUAAGCAUUAAUACAUCAAGUAAAGAAAUCCAAUCCAUCAUUGUUAGACAUCUUUAGAAAUAAUUAAUUAUUAGCUAAAAUAACAAUGUAAAUAAUACAACUAGUAAAGAAUAAUUCUCCAUCCUCUAAAUUUGACAAAAAGAGCUUGGCAUCGAAUAUGAUAGUUCUGAAGUCCACAAGGUUCAAGAUAUAGUCGGUGUAAUGGAUUAAGAAUGACAAAAGGGUUGGGUGUGAAGAAACUGUCAGAGAACUUCUGAGAGUAAAUAACCAGGGUUGCAUACGCUUGAGGUUGUGAGAGUAAUGGAGAUAUAUCAUGAUUGAAGACAAAGCGGAAAUUGGCUUUUAAGAAGUUUUCUCUUUACAUAUAUUCUACUCCUUCAUCAUACGUAUGCUAUUUAUUUAAGGACUAAUAUGAAACUACAGGAUUAUACUGUUGACAUGUAUGAAAUUAUAACAACUAAAUAACGGAAUAAUUUGUUGUAAUGUAAUUUAAAAUGUGAGACUGCAUAUAUCACCUUAGGACCCAUGGUGACUUUUACAGCAUCAGCAAGCUCUUCAACACCCUUAAGCAUCAAGGCACGGGCUUCUACACCAAAUUUGAUGUCUUUAGCCGCAUAGUUUCUGCUCCAGUUUAGUCUACUUCCAAUCUAUAACAGCAGCAAGACCCAAAAUAUGAGAAAGCUAUAUUCAAACUUCAUCGAUAAGAGCAGUAAUCGCAGGGGCAGAUCAAAUAAGAUAAUGCACAAAUGUACAAGCCAGGAAGAAGUAAGAACACUAGAGCUCACCUGAUGCGUGCUGUUCCUAGCGAUCCUGCGAACCAAAAGAAACCCGUUAACAUCAGGCAUGAGCAACAACACAAAAACCAACAUAGAGCAUUGACCACUGAUGCAACAUUCAAAAACUCAAGUAGCAAGCUUUCAGUUCAGUUAUUUAUCCAGUUAGAAAUGAAAUUCCAAAGGGGAAAAAUAUAAAUCCGAUAUCGGAAAACGUAAAUUGGUUAUCUUUCGAGUUAUGCUGCAUCGUUUACUCGAGUACCAAGCGGAAAAUGGAGAAAACAAUCAAAACACAGUUAGCACGCAACGAUAAAAACAGAAGGGGAACAGAAAGUACCGAGCCUUAGAAGCGAGGCUAGAGGCGAAACGAUACAUAGUGUACAGACUGCAAAAACAAUGAAGAGUUCUGGAUUGGGAAAUGAGGAAGCGAGUGAAUUAACAAAAAGAUUACACGAGGCAGACUGUGAAGAGAGAAAGUAGGCGCUUUUAUAAUAAAAGAGGAAGGCUCCAGAAGCACAACGGGCAGAGCACAGCAGCCUCUGGUUCUAGGGUUUAGGGUUUUAUUUUAUUUUAUUUUAUUUUUUCCUAUACUUUCUCGUCGAAAUGUUUUCCUAUACUUGCAAUCCGUUUUGUGUGAAGCAAAAUAACGUUACGUUUUUAAUGAUUAAUUUUAAAUUUUAAUAAUUUUUAUUGUUUAAAAAAAAAUAAUAAAAAAGUGUUUAAAAGUAUUUCGAGGUUUUCAAAAAAAUUUAGAGUUUAAUGUUUUUUUUUUAUAAUAAUUAUGUACACCCUCUUUUAUAGAAGACAUAAUAAGGUAAAAUUUUCAAUAAUUGUUUUAAAAUUUUAAUAAUUUUAAUUGUUCCGAAUUGUUUAGAAACAUUUUAAGAUUUUCAAGAGUUUCAGAGUUUAGAGUUUUAUUUUAUUUUUCUCAAUUUUGCAUUAAGGUAAAGUUUUUUAUGAUUGUUUUAAAAUUUUAAUAUUUUUUUAUUAUUUAAAAAUAUGAAAAUAUAUUUAAAGAUUUUUAAGUAUUAUAGGAUUUAAAUUUUUAUUUUUAUUUUAUUUUUUUCGAUAUUUACUGUCUGUUUUCAAUCUGAAAAGUAUAAUUUUUAAUGGUUAUUUUUAAAUUUUAAAAUUUUUUUAUUACUUUGAAGUGUUUAAAUAUUUGGAGAUGUUUAAGAGCUCUAGGUUUAAGGUUUUAUUUCAUUUUAGUUGUUAUUUUAAAUUUUAAUAAUUUUUUAUUAUUUAAAAAAUAAAAAAAAUUUGGAAGUUUUCAAGAGUUCUAAAGCUUAGAGAUUUAUUUUAUAUUAUUUUCUCAAUGUUUAUAUUUUAUUUGGUAAGAGGUCAAGUAAGGUAAAAAUUUUAAUAGUUAUUUUUCAAUUUUAAUAAUUAUUAUUAUUAUUGUAAAGUGUUUGGAGAUAUUUGAAUAUUUUCAAGAGUUUUAGAGGUGUGAAUUUUAUUUUAUUUUAUUUUAUUUUAUUUUAUUUUAUUUUUUAAUAUUUAUAUGAGGUAAAAUAAAAUAAAGUUUUUAAUGAAUUUUUUCAAUUUUAAUAUUUUUUAUUAUUUGAAAAAAUGAAAAUAAAAUAUUUGGAGGUUUUCAAGUUUUAUAAAGUUUAGGGUUUUAUUUAUUUUAUUUUUCUCAAUACUUACACUUUAUUUGCUAUGAUACAAAAUAAGCUAAAGAUUUUAAUAGUUAUUUUUAAAUUUUUAUUGUUUCGACGUUUUUUUUAAGAAAAAAUUUGUAUAAAAUUAGCAUAGAAAAAAUGGAAAAUCUCUGUCUUGAAAACUAAUUUCAGCAUCUCUUAGUCAAUAGUAUAUAUUUUUGUUUAGUUAUGCAACAAUGUUAGGUUUGGAUCUCGUUCUAUGAGGAUUUUUUUUUAGAUGAUUAAUAAAAAAGCAUUUUAUUAUCUCAUUUAUCUGUCUAGUCUUUGUCUCAGUACUUUAAGAGAAAACUUAACAAUCCAUAAUGAUAAUUCUAAAUCAUAUUAAUAUAUUUAACGAUUUACGCUUUUUUUAAUCUAUCGUAUUGCCUCUUCUUAUGUACUGCUCCACCUUGAAUUUCGAAUUGAUUUGGAUGUAACUGCCAAUAGUGGUGGUAUACGAUAAAGGUCCUAUCGUAGAAUUUGUCUGUGUGUUUUGAAUUUCCAUUUAGUUGCAUUUCGUAUUUUAUUUUAUCAAUUUUCUAUGAGUGUACAUUAAUUUUUUUACUCUGAUUAGAUAUGUAUUUAUAGUAGAAAUAGUGAUAAUAUGAUUUUUUGAUGGUACAACCGGUUAAAUUAUGACUUUUUUUAAAGUUUGUGGAUUGUGAUAAUAAGUUUUGUUUCAGUUUUUAUUUUAUGAUUGUGAUUAAUUUAGCUCUUAUUUACAUUUAUUUUUCUUUUAGCUCCCUGUGCCCUCAAUGCAAUUAAUUUUACAUGAUAAUUUUUUUUUAAGAAUUAUAAAAUUUAGAAUUUUAUUUUAUUUUAUUUUUUCCUAAUACUUAUACUUUAUUUAAUAGGAGGCAAAUUAAGUAAUGUAAAGAUUUUAAUUAUUGUUUUACAAUUUUAAUAAUUUGUUAUUAUUGAAAAAAAUAAAAAUGUAAUUGGAAGUUUUCAACCGUGGUAAAGUUUAGAGUUCUAUUUAAUUUUAUUUAUUUAUGUUAUUUACAACUUGUUUUAUAUGAGCCAAAUUAAAGUAAAGUUGUCAAAUAGAUGUUUUAAAAUUUUAAUAUAUUUUAUUGUUUGAAAAAAUGAAAAAAUAUUUGAAGGAUUCUAAGAUUUACAAAAUUUAAGUUUUUUUUUUUUUUUAUCCAUACUUACAGUAUCUUUGAUAAAAAGCAAAAUCAAUUAUUGAGUUUAAUUAUUUAAAUUUGAACUUGUUUGAUGUAUUCAAUGUAUUUUGAGUUUCGCUCAACUCGAUCAAGUUUAAAAAUAUAAAAUAAAAAAUUUAAUAAAUAUAAUCGGUAAUUUAAUUAUUAAAUAUAUAUUAGCCAGCUAAGAAAAUUCUCCUAUUUUCUAUUAAAAAUGGAGCUAGAAUUUAAAAUAAAAGUAUAACAUAUUUUUAAUAAUAUAUUAGUAUAUGUAAACGGAAGUAUGUGUGUAUUUUAAACUAUUUUUACCAAUAAUUAGUUAUAAUCCUUGUUUAAAAUUAAUUUGAACGGAAUGGCUAAUUUUAACUUUAUUUGGAAUUUUUAGAAUUAAUUUUGAAUUAAAAGUAAAUUUUAUUAAAAUUAUUAAAAAUUUGCAAGAAAUUAUUUUAUUUAAGAUUAUUUAUAUUAAAAUUAUUUAAUUAGCUUUAGAGAGAGUUUUUUUUUUCUUUUCCUUUUAUUUUUAUUUUUAUUUUUUAUUUUUUAAUUUAUUUUUUAUUUUAAUUAAUAAUUUAUCUUUGAAAAGUUAAUUUAAUUUAAUAUUAACUAUUAGUAUUUAAUGAAUUUAUAAAUAUUAAGAAAUUUAUUAUAUUAUUUUGUUGAUUUAAAAAUCUUAAUUUUUUUUAUUUUUUUAAUGGUAAAAAAUUAUAUAAAAUUAUGAUUUUAAAUAUUAUAAAAAUAUUAAUAAAAAAUUUUCAAUCAAUGUGAAACUUAAAUUUAUUAUUAAUUUGUUUAUAUAAAAAAAUUUAAUUAAAUUCUAUUAUAUUUAAAUUAAUUUCAAACAAAUAAAUUUUUUUAUAAAUAAAAAUAAAUUGAAUUCUAUAAGAAAUACUCAUCAAAUAAGGGCUUAAUAUAUUUAUAAUAAAUUUAUUUGAUUCAAUAUGUACACUCAUGGCAGUAUUUAAAAUUAUUCAAAUCGUAUAAAAUUUUUUAAAAGUGUGAAUAAUUCUAUUUUUUAGAUAAGGUCUGCAAUAUAAUUGUAUAACCUAUUAAUUUAUAAAAGUUAAUAUUAUUAAUUUUUCUAAAGUUUUGAUAAUAUUAAUAAUUUUUUAUUAGGUUUUGUUACUCAAAACAAUACUAAUAAUUUCAUCUUAUACUUAUUAUUUCUAUAUGAUAAUAAUAGAUAUAAAACAAGUAAUUUAUUAACUUAUAUUAUAUAUGUAAUAAAUAGAUAUUAACUUUAAUUUAUUGGUAAUUGAAUUAUUUAUAAGAUUGAGAAAGGUUUGGAACUUAAGAUUUGUAUAUAUAAAAAAAAUCUAGUAAAAUUGUAUUAGUUUUUUUUAUUUUGUUAAUUUUUAGAACCAACAACUCACUUAAUUUAAGGAUUAUUAAUUAUAGAAAAAAAAAAGAAGCUAUAAUUUUUUCAAAGGAGAGAAAAAGGAAAAGAAAAGUUAUGAGAAAAAGGUGAAGGAAGAAAGAAAGCAGUCGGCUUGAAUAGUCUGUUUUGGAUUUUUUGUGUCUUUUCUUUUAAUUUUUUUUAUUUUUUCUUUGCGUUUCGACAUGAGACGUCUCCAUCCUCCCUUAUUUUCUUUCAUUGGGUCGGUCAGCAGCGUUUUUUUUUUUUUUUUGACAGAUUUUUGCUAUUCAACGUGAGGGUUUUUUGUUAGAUUUGGAGGGUAGCCAGCGACUCUGCUUUGUUGAUGGGAAGGAGUAUACUUGCUGAUGUUGCCAAAACCUCUAAAGAUUACAAUGACGUAUCCAGUGAUUUGCGCUCUCUCUAAUAGAGGAUGGAUGAAUUCUACAGCACCUUCUUUCUUCUGUAUUUUGAUUUUUUAAAUUAUUUUACUUUUUGUUAUUUAUGAGAAUUCAACUUUCUUUUAAUACAUACAAGUUAUCUUCUGUUUUUCUGAUUGCUCUCUAUUUUUUGAUAAUGCGUUCAAUGAUUUUAAUGGUGUAAUUACUUUGGUGUUGUGUUUUCGUUAAUAGCAGAUGGGUAUUGGCAGUUGACUCUACCACACUUAGUUAAAUGGUUUGUUUUAAUUGUGGGUUUGAUUUGGAUUAAUUUUGAAUCUUGUUAUGGGGCUGAGGUUUCAUUGAUUUUUAUGAUUUUUAAGUGGACAAUUGAUUUUCACUUGAUAAUCUGAGAUCCAGAGAAAUAGGGUUUUACAAAGGGUUCUGUAAAACUAGAAAAAGUUUAGACCUAGAGGAGAGUAUUUAUCCUUUUAUAUGUUUCCUUUUGUCUGCUAGUGAUGUGCUAACAGAACGUAUAUCGUUGGUCCACCUGUCCCUGCUACAUUGAUACGGACGUACGAGGGAAUCAGAUCUCUGCUCCAUGCGUAACGACCUUUGAUUCUCCCUGUGCGUGUAUAGAGGGGUCCACAAGGCAGAUGAAAGAGUCUUCCUUCUGGUUCUGGACUGGGCCGGGAGAUAGGAGCAAAGCUGGGCCCAAAGGAGAUUGGCCCGAGGUGCAGUGAAGGCGAGGCCGGCCUGGUUGAGAAAUUCGGAGGGGCCCGGUAUCAAGACUCGAAAGGGCCUGACCUGUUAGUGCAGAGGAUGUGUGGGCUUCUGAGCGAUGGGCUGCGAUCGAGGGCUUGGCCCCUGACUAGGGUGGAGAAAUCUAGUGGUCAUCAAUUGCCCCUUUACCUCCUCGGCAGUUAUUGCCCCAACUGUCGAGGGGGUAAACAUCGAGAAUCAUUAUGACCGCGCCUGUUUGAAUUCGGCUUGCUCCAUAACGCCCUUUCAUCUUUUUGUCACAUGUAGCUUUAAAUUUUCUUCGUCUUUUUUCUAUUUCUAGCUUUCCUCUGCUCUUUGUGCACACUGUUAUCCUCACUUUCCUGCCUUUAUCUUCCCGAUACGCUUUCUUUCCUCUUUUGUGAAUAGCCUUUAAGGAUUCUGAUGCCGCUAGCCUAGAGUAUAAGGUCACCCUGUCUUACAUUAAAAUCUCAGCCUCUGGCUAUAUAUUAAUAACACCUCCUUCUCAUCCUUGGGCUCAUUAUCGGGACAACGGGAUCUCUCUUUCCGAUCCUCCUUCCUCUGAUUCGGUCAAUCUCCCAAAAGAUGCAAGUUUAGUUUUCUUUGUCAUGCGAAAGGGGUACGGUUUACCCUUCCCUUAUUUCUUUCGAAUCUGCUUUGUCUCUCAUGAGGUCUGUUUUAACCUUGCUUUUGUGAUUUUUGCAGCCUUUGGGAUGAAGAUGAAGCGGAUUAAGCCCCCUAAGAUUCUUACGCUGCCCAUGGGGAGCUUGAACGUUGCUUCGGACGUCUUCUUAGUGGGGUGAUCGGUGGGGGAGGUUAUUCGACAAGUGGCCAGAAUCAUGUUUUCCAGGUCGUCCGGACGACCUCUUCCCCCUGCUCCUGCCCGGGCUCCUGUCUUUCUUUCUUCCGGGGAGGAGGAGGAGAUUCUCGUGGUGCCCCUGAUGUCUGCUCCUGACUCGAACUCAUGGAAUAACAUGGUUUCUGAGGCUUAUUAUGAGAUACGAAAUGCUGUCUACACACGUAAUAUUAACAAGGGUAACCUGCUAAAAUUAGUCCAACAUAGUAUGUGUGUAGAUUUGCAACAUUCACUUGUUCCAUUGCUCUUCAGAAUGCCUCGCCGGUUUUCCUCGGCUUGCUCGAGUGUAUCGUGCAUCACACUUGGGCGGCAGGAAGCCUGCCUAUGAUGGAACAGUGAGAAAUGCUUAUGGGGAUCAACUUGUUCAGUUCCCCUAUAAUAACAAGACAGAGCUCAGCCGACCUGUGAAGCUCAUCUUCCGAACUAUGAGAAUUCUUCUGAAUCGAAAGUUAAGAUGGUGGGGUAGGUGACAGUGAUGUAAACAUAGAUGAUGAUGUAUCCGGGCAUGUAAAUCCUUUAGGGAUAGCUUUUUAUCCUGUAAUGUAGGUAUUUGUAACAUGCUGUAAUGUAUUGUUCUUUUAAUGAAAUUUUUGUUUUUCGUUCAUACUCAAGCUGUUCUUUCCUUGUCAUGAGUGAGGUAUUUAGAUUGCGUGCUUCGUAAUUUUUCCUGAGGAAUUCGCUGUAUUAUUUUUUCCUUCUCGCCUUCUAGCCAAUCGGAACUAGAGUUCAUUUAGCCAACUGAGCUUUCGAUUUACUCUUUCCGAGCUAAACUAACCGUACCCGUGAGCUCUGUUUUUAACCAGUGAGCUGAGGCUUUCGAUUUACUCUUUCCGAGUUGAACUAACCGUACUCGUGAGCUCUGUUUUUAACCAGUGAGCUGAGGUCUUGACCCACAGGUUUGUAUGAUUCCACGACAUCCUCAUCACCUCAGACUCGUAGCCUUUGCUUAACGAUGAUAAGUCGGAUCAUGUACCUUUUUAGGUGAUGAGCAGGUCUGGUCUUUAUCAUGCUUCCCUCUGCUUGCGUCCUUGGAUCUUUCGACGACGUGCCCUUUUGCCUCCUCAGUAUUUAUCAUAUGAGUAUCGAUGAGGUAGAUCUUAUCUGUCGAGCCGUCCUAGGUGAGAGAUCCAGGUGGAGCCCGGUCUUAAGGUCUGGACGAGUUGGGUUUGUUUUAUGCAGAUAGCGUGGGGGCCUUUGAAUGAUGGGCUAUUGUCGUGGGCCUGACCCUUGAUAGGGGUGGGGGAGUCUAGCGGUCCCCAAUUGUUGCCCCUUUAUCUUCUCGGCAGUUAUUGCCCGACUGAUGAGAGGGUAAACUUCGAGAGUAAUAAUGACCGCGCCGCUCCAAGACAAAAUUGUCCAGAGUAACUCUUCGUUUCAUUAUUGCCUUUCAUUUCGAAUUCUCUCUGCUUUCUGAGGAAACUUGUUCUCUUCUGCUCUCUGUUUUCCUUCGAUUUCUUCUGCUUUUUCAACCUCGUUGCAUUUCAGGUACGCUCUCUUAUUCUUCCAUGAAGGGUUCUAAACUUUCCGAUGUUGCUAACCUCGAGUCGCACAUUACUCCUUCUUCCAUAACUAAGUAUAUUUCUCGGGGGUAUUUAGACACUCCGCUUUAUCUUAUUCGAGCUCCUCUCCAAAAUGAAAGGGUAGUUCUUCCAAACCCUUCCCCUCCUGGUUUGAUAGAUCCCCAAAGGGGUCGUUGCAUAGUCUUCUUCCUCAAGCAAAGGGACUUCGGUCUGACUUUCCCUUUUACCCCUUUCUUCAUCGAGGUUUUCCAAUACUUUGGGAUAACCCCCCGAAUGUUGUCCCCAAAUUCCAUUUUGUUCAUGUGUUGUUUUGAAUCUAUCUGCUUGAGUUGGGGUUUUACACCCACGGCGUGUCUAUUCGCCACUUUCUUCCGCCUCGUUAGAUCGGUUCAGAAUUUUUACUAUUUUUCUCCCCGUAGUGGAUUGUCUCUUUUCACAGGCUACAAGGAUUCAAUAAAGGGAUGGGUAGAGAAUUUCCUUGUGGCAGAGCUGAGAAAAGAGACCGAUUUAUCAUGGGGAGUGGGGCUAGGCUGGGAGGAUGUCCCCCUGGGUUGCAACGACCUGCCCCAACUAAACCUUACCGAGCAGGUGGGGUAUCUUCGACUGACUUCUGUUGACAAGAAGUAUGACGUCGAGAAGUGUAUGUCCGUGUCUAACCUUAGGGAUAUUCGAGACACGGGUAUAGUGCCUUGUUUAACAAUUCUGCUUUUUCCUUGUAAGUGAUAUUAGAAAGUACACUAAUUUUUUCUGGUUUUGUGUUUUUUGGCAGCUUCUGACGUUAAGAUGGACCAGGUCAAGCCCCAAAAAACUUAGUUCUGUCUCGGGAAAGCAUGAACGCUGCCCUAGAUGCCCUUCGGGCUGGGCGUCGCGUGUCUGAAGUCACUGAAGAGGUGGCUCAGACUGUGUCUUCUAGGAAGAUUAGCCGACCUCUUGCCAGAGCUUCCUCUCGAGCUCCUAAGCCGAGUUCUCAUGGUACCAGGUCCUCUCGGCCAUCUGGCCGUGGCAGGUCGGCCUCUGCUCUGAAACCUGUUCAGGAGUCUAAGUCUGAUCAGGGUUCUACGGAGGAUGCGCAGGAAACUUCUCUAGUUGUUGUGAAGCAGGCAGGGGACAUUGAACAGACGAAGUCGGAUCCUGCUUUUCCUUUUGAGGGGGCACCAAGGGGAAGACUCGAGUCCCCCAUUAUUGAAGAGGAGGCUCCUGGGACAGGACUGGAGGUCAUUCUUGUUGAGGACAGUGUCCCGGAGGCUCCUACCAGAGACGCCCCUGUCCCAGUGGGGAUUGAUUCUGGGACUGAGGGCGUCAUAGCAAAGGCCGGGGAUAAGCGCCCAUCCCCCCUUAAAGCAUUUGCCCCAGCUCCUGCUCGGAAAAAGCACAGGGCUUCUAAAGGACCAUCUCCAGCCCUCCCUCCUAUUGGGAAAGGAAAAGAUGUUCCCGUUGUGCCUCUGUUGUCUGCUCCGGACAACGAUAUUCUGAACACAGAGGACAUCACCCAUCAAUCUCCGGCCAGUGUAGUUGCCGAAAUCCUUAGAGAACGGAUGUUUGGUGGGAUUACGGAGGCCUCAGAUCAAUGCUUGCUUGCUCUUACUGGUCUUCUAGCCAGUUCUACGAGGGAGCAAGCGUCGUUCCGAUCUCGGUCUCGAGAGGAGCUCGGGGAUAUAAUCAGGGAGAUGCUUCUGAUGGUAAAUUGUCUUUAUGUUUCUCUUUUGAUUCUCUUGAUUUCUUUCUUUUGAUGGUUGUUCUUUUGUUCUAGGUGACGGGCCUCUUCAUGGAGGUAGAUGCUCGCGACCAUUCUCUCCGGGAGUCUGUGAAUCGCCGGAUUGAGGAGGCGCGUCUGGAAGAGAACUUAUCUGCUACCGGCGACGCUAGGGGCAAUCUCACAGCUGCUCGAGAGCACUCCGAGUCUCUCCAACGCGAGCUAUAUACAGCUUUGGAGGCUCUCAAAAGGGCUGAUGUGAGAACAGCCGAGGCGCAUGAACGUGCCAAAUCCCUGGAAGCAGAGUUGUCUCUCACCCGGGAGAUUUUAAAGGAGUUAGACGAGAGGGCAGCUGCUGCUGAGGUCCGCUGUGAGGAGGUUUUAAAGCAGCUGUUCUCCAUGGCGGGGGCCCUUCAUGAGAGGGAUGAGGCCAUAAGCCAGAAGGAUGAGGUCCAGUGCCAGUAUGAGGCCCUGAAGGUUGAGUUAGGAAGACUUCAAGUUCACCUGGAUAAGGUGAAUAUUCAAAAAGAGAUGGCCUUAGCUCGGGUGGAGGUCCUUGAGCAGGAGCUGAGCACAAAUUCUGAACGUAUCAGAGAUCUGGCUUCAUUGGCGGAGGAGUCCAAACUUCGUAAUCAAUAGCUUAGCCAUGAAGUCAGGACUCUAGAACGUAAAUGUUCGGCCCUGCUCGAGGUAGCCAGACAUGCUGAGGGCAAGAUCCAGCUGGAGUGUGAGAAGCGUCUGGAGGAGUAUCAGGAGUCGGAUGAGCUAAAAAGAAAGAUUGAGUAGGCCUGUGAAGCUCACCUCCAGGACUACAAGGAUUCCCCUUAGCUGAAGGCAGUUAUAGCUGAGGCCUGUGAGUCACAGCUUGCGGAGUAUAAAGCCUCUGCGGAGAUAAAAGUUGCUAUUUGGCAGAAAGCUUUCCGCAUGUUCAGGACUGGCUAUAAUCGGGGUUUAAGAGAAGCCAGACAUGCUCCUGAUACUCCUCUGGCAGAACUUCGAGUUGCCGAAGUGGAUUCUGAUGGCGAGAAUGUGUUAUAUGGGGAAGAUGAUUUCCCCUUGCCUAGAGGAACCUCUCGCACUGCAGCUGGGUCUCCUGAGGAAGAAUCCGAGCUGGACGGAGAAGAUAUGGAGGACCUCGGAACUGAAGGAGACGACCUCGAGCCUGAAGGGGGUGACCUCGGCCCAGGGUUGGAGAAUGCGCCUGUUGUGAGCGUUGGGAAAUUUGAAUUGGAGGGUGUCCGAUCUCCUUCAGAUGCGAAUGUAAAUAAAGAUAAUGUAGGCAAUGACAUUCUUAGAAAUGCAAGUCCCUUAAGGACUAUUUUUCCUUCAGCCUCAUCAGAUGAAUAAGUUAUAAUAUGCUCUAAUGAAAUUUCACUUGCAUUUACUUUGCUUGUUGUUUUAGCCUCAUCGGACCACUUAUUCUGUUAAACAGUCUGACUUGUUUAAGUUUUAAAGAUUUUGAUAAGAAACACUUAAGCUGUGCUUAAUAAACUUUGUAAAGAAUUGAUUACAUCGUUUUUCAUCUCUUGUCUCUCAGCUAAUCAAGGCUGAAAAUUUUAACCAGGGGUUUAGUCUCUGAUUUAUAAACUUUUCCUUUUUUCACAAGGCAUUCUUAUUCGUGAGCUCUUUCCGAGCUGGGCUAGCUGCACUCGUGAGUUCCGUUUUGUUACUUUAUUAAUGUAAGCUCGGGCGCACAGCCUUUGCUGAAUGAUAGUAAGUCAGAUCAUGUACUUGUCUCGAUGAUGAGCAGGGCUCGUCUUUCUGCCUUUAAUUCUAUCUUUACAGGGGCUGGAGCUGAGGUUUUAUUUGCUUCGUGUCAUUAGCUUUUCCUCGGAUUGCCCCUUUACUUCCUCAGUACUUAUUACAUAAUUAGUGAGGGAGUAAAUCCCUGUACCUUAUUUGUACUUGCAUGGCUUCAGUUAUCCUCCUAUACGUUCCUGCCUUGAUGGGCUUUUUCAUUGAGGGAGCUCGGUUCUCUGUUAUUUCCUCUAUACUUAGCUUCAUUCUACCUAAGUGUUGCAUGUUGCGAGUCUAUCCGAGCUGGGAGCUCGGUUCUUUGCUCUUUGCUUAGGUUUUUAUGCCUAUAGUCCGUGACGCUGCCUAUUUCGCGAGCUCAGGAGUUCGGAAUUUUGCCCCUUUUUUUUUUCCGCUUUAGUGUUCCGAGCUCGUUUGUGAGGUCGGACUUAACCUUUCUUUUUCCGAGCUGCCUAUCCUCGAGCGUUUUGUGGGUUCUUUGUUGUUUAGACCUCUCUCUGGGCUAGCUAGUUCAGCACCAGUGGUCAAUUCGCGAGGUUGGUGUCUUUUUAAGGUCGGCUUGGGGCUGUGGCGCUUUUGGCUAUUGUGCCCCGAGCUCCUUCGGGAGGUCGGAAUCUUGUUUUUCAUCGGUAGCUCGGGACUCGUCUUUCGCGUGAGAUCGGAGCCGUGUUUUUAUGAGUUGUCCCUGCAUAUGAUAUUGGAAUUUUUGCACUGGGAGGCCCUUAGGACCUUCACCGACCGUUUUUGUUUUGUUUCCCCGGGAGUUCUAGGGGAUCCCGGUCUUCUUUGUUUUCCUGGGAGUUCUAGGGGAUCCCGGUCUUCAUGCUCCGGGAGGUCUUUUAAGAUCCUCGCCGGCCGUUUGUUUUGUUUUUCCGGGAGUUCUAAGGGAUCCCGGUUUUCUUUGUUUUCCCGGGAGUUCUAGGGGAUUCCUGUCUUCAUGCUCNNNNNNNNNNNNNNNNNNNNNNNNNNNNNNNNNNNNNNNNNNNNNNNNNNNNNNNNNNNNNNNNNNNNNNNNNNNNNNNNNNNNNNNNNNNNNNNNNNNNNNNNNNNNNNNNNNNNNNNNNNNNNNNNNAGAUCCUCACCGGCCAUUUUUGUUUUGUUUUCCUGGGAGUUCUAAGGGAUCCCGGUCUUCUUUGUUUUCCCGGGAGUUCUAGGGGAUCCCGGUCUUCAUGCUCCGGGAGGUCUUUUAAGAUCCUCACCGGCCGUUUUUGUUUUGUUUUCCCGGGAGUUCUAAGGGAUCCCGGUCUUCUACCUCUGAGGUCUCUGUGUCUCAGGGUCUUCAUAUUCUGUUCUUUCUUUUUAAAAGAGAAGUGACAUUCAUAAUAGAGAUAACAUCAUCGUGUAAAGAAUGGUGUUGUUUUAUUCAUUUGUGCUUUUCAGAGUAUAAUAUUUUUCUUUACAAAUAUUUCAAGGGAAAUACCUCGUCAAGUGCUGGAUAUUCCAAGCAUGGGGCUCAGGGUUUCCUUGCAUAUCUUCAAUUCGGUAUACGCCUGGCCUGACCACUUUUGUUAUCCUGAAUGGGCCCUCCCAGGUCGGUGCCAACUUGCCCAUUGCUGCUCUUUUUCCCGUAGCCUUCAGGUUUCUCAGGGCCAAAUCUUCCACCUUCAAGCUUCUUUCCCUGACCCUUUGGUUGUAAUAACGGGCUGCCUUUUGUUGAUAGGCGGCAGUUCGAACUUGAGCUUCUUCCCUGAUUUCCUCCAGGGCAUCCAGGUUGCUUCUUAAUUUAUCUCCGUUGGAGCUGUCGUUGCUGAACUGGAUUCGAUGUGUGGGGACCUGUAACUCGAUUGGGACUACGGCCUCUGUGCCGUAAGCAAGUGCAAAGGGUGUUUCCUUAGUGGACGCUCUAGGGGUGGUUCGGAGUGCCCACAGGAUGCUGUUGAGCUCGUCUGCCCAAUUCGCCUUUGCCCCAUCCAGUCAUUUUUGCAGCCCCUGGAGGAUCGCUCGGUUGGUGACCUCUGUCCGGCCAUUGGUUUGAGGAUGGGCCACCGAAGAAAACUUAUGCCAUAUGCCUAUGUUUGCCGUAAAUGCUCUGAAGGUAUUGCAGUCGAACUGUCUGCCAUUGUCUGAGAUAAGCACUCUUGGUAUGCCAAAUCUGCAGAUGAGAUGACCCCACACAAAGUCUAUCAUCUGCCGGGCUGUGAUUGUGGGGACUGCCACCGCCUCUGGCCAUUUUGAGAAGUACUCCCCAGCCACUACUACGAACUUUUUCUGUCUCGUGGUUUUGGAAAAAGGUCCCAGGAUAUCUAUUCCCCAUUGUGAGAACGGCAAUGGACUGGAUAUGCUAAACUGAGGAGUAGCCGGGACAUUGAUGGCGUUAGCAAACCUCUGGCAUACAUCGCACCUUCGGACAAACUCUUCUGCUUCGCUUUUGAUAGUGGGCCAGUAGUACCCUUGCCUGAAUAUUUUAUUGGCUAAUGUCACUGCCCCUUCGUGAGCUCCGCACGUUCCCCUGUGUAUUUCUUCCAUCACUUUUGUAGCCUCUUCUGGAAUCACACACCGGAGUCAUGAGCUGGAUUUCCCUUUUCUGUAUAAGGUCCCUCUUACUGCUUGGUAAUUAGCAGCGCGAGCUGCUAUCUUUCUGGCUUCAUCUUUAUCCUCCUGUGCCUCCUACGAUCAUAUUGAUGGUCCCACUGGACCCAUCAUUUACAGGGUUAGCUCCCGUUCUUCUCGGUGUUUGGACUGCCGGAUUGGGCUGAGAUCUCUGUCCUUCCGGUUUCUUCACAAAGUUCUUCAGGUGUCCUCUCUUUAUCAACCUCUCGAUUUCUGCAAUCAACUGGAAACAAUUAUUGGUGUCGUGACCAUGAGUACGAUAGAACUGACAGUAUUUGUCAGGAUUUCGCUGGUCGGCUUUCGAUUUCAGGGGUUUGGGCCAUUGUAAGAAUUCCUUGUCUUGGACGGCUACGAGCACUUCGGCUCUAGAGACAUUAAGUGGGGUCGGCUUCUCCGGAACCCAUGAAGGGAGUAGCCUCUGCUCUGAGACCCGAGAGGGAAGAGGUCUUUGGUCCUUUCGCUCUCAGGGCUGUCUGUAAGGCUUAGGCUUUUUGCCAUGUUUCUUCUCAUGCUUCUCCGGCCUCCUUUCCUCCGGGGCUUUCUCCUUGCCUGCCACUCCCUUGGCGAAUCGGCUCGUCUCCAGAGCGUCAUCCUGUCUUAUAUACUUCUCAGCCCUCUUCAUCAGCUCGGCCAAUGAGGUCGGAGGCUUCCUGCUUAAUGAGCCGAAGAACUCGGCAGAGGUCGUCCCCUUUUGCAUGGCCUCCACCGCCCUUCCCUCAUCGAGCUCGGGAAUCUGCAGGGCCUCCGCAUUGAAACGAGCUACAUACUCUAUAAGCGAUUCCUCCCUUCUCUGCCUUACUGUUUCUAGAUAGCUCGUCUUCCUAUCCGCUGGCACCCCGGCGAUGAACCGGCUGAUGAAGCGAGUGGCCAGAUCUCCAAAACUUCCAAUGCUUCCGGUCUCCAGGCUGUUGAACCACGCUCGCGCUGGCCCCGAGAGCGUCGUUGGGAAUACCUUGCACAUCAAGGCAUCCGAUAAAGUUUGCAGUUCCAUGAAGGUCUUGUAGUUCAUGACGUGCUCCCUUGGGUUACCAGCUCCGUCAUAAGCCGCCAUUGAUGGCAUCAUAAACUUCUUAGGGACAGUCUCCUGCUGUACCCACUUCGAGAAAGGUGAAGAAGUGGGCAGAAAGGUUUGGCUUUGAUCCUUCUUUCCCAGCUCGGCCAAGAGCUGCUCUCUCAACUUCUGCAGCUUUUGGUCCACGUCCUCAUCUUCCGGCCUGGGCUUCUUCUCCAGGCGGUGUUCCUCCUCCUCUGCUUCACUUCUGGUCCACCUGGUUGUCCCGGCGGAAUAGUUGUCAGCCUCAUCAUUUUCUAUCAUCUCCUUUACCCUCCUUCCAUGGAUUCGGGCCUCUGGCUCUUCCUCUUCUCCGACUCUUCUCUCCCUUUCCCCGGUACUGCGGCUGCUGGUUUGAAGGCGGUCGGGGAUAGGUUGGGGCUCAUUGGUUUGGGGUUCUUCUACCACUGGGAGUGUAUUCAUCGGGGUGCUGAGGCCCCUUUGUUGCAUUAUCUGCCCCAACCAGUGGGCGGUAUUCUGUAGUUGGAGAGCCAUUGUUUGAAGGUCCUGGUUGGAUAAGGUAGCGGUGGGAGCAUUCCCUGCCAAGCUUGGCGAGGGAUUGAGAGGAAUGGAUGUUUGGUUGUUUAGUAUUGUAGGGCUAGAAAAGGAGAACUGCUGCCCCUCUUGGGUAGAGCUCAGGUCAUUUGGGAUGUUGAGGUUGCUUUCAUUGUGAUUGGCCAUCGUGGAUCUCAGUGGGUUUUGUUAAGAGCGGAACUCCGGUGAUGAAAAGAUCUCAUUCGUUUCCCACAGACGGCGCCAAUUGAUAAUCUGAGAUCCAGAAAAAUAGAGUUUUACAAAGGGUUCUGUAAAACUAGAAAAAGUUUAGACCUAGAGGAGAGUAUUUCUCCUUUUAUAUGUUUCCUUUUGUCUGCUAAUGACGUGCUAACAGAACGUAUAUCGUUGGUCCACCUGUCCCUGCUACAUUGAUACGGACGUACGAGGGAAUCAGAUCUCUACUCCAUGCGUAACGACCUUUGAUUCUCCCUGUGCGUGUAUAGAGGGGUCCACAAGGCAGAUGAAUGAGUCUUCCUUCUGGUUCUGGACUGGGCCGGGAGAUAGGAGCAAAGUUGGGCCCAAAGGAGAUCGGCCCGAGGUGCAGUGAAGGCGAGGCCGGCCUGGUUGAGAAAUUCGGAGGAGCCCGGUAUCAAGACUCGAAAGGGCCUGACCUAUUAGUGCAGAGGAUGUGUGGGCUUCUGAGCGAUGGACCGCGAUCGAGGACUUGGCCCCUGACUGGGGUGGAGAAAUCUAGCGGUCAUCAUCACUUUUUGUAUUUUUCCUCUUAACCUUAUUAAAAUGCAAUAUCUCUUGCAUUGUUAAAAAAAAUUUAUUAAUUGUGAUUUAAAAAUAAACUAAUUAAGUUCACUAAACAGUAACAUAUUUAUAUUAUGCAAGUCAAUAUAUUAAAAUUAAUUUAAAAAUCAUUUUUAUCAAUUUAAUAUUAGCAUAGUAAUUUAUAAAAAUUAUUACUAAUUUAAUACAAAUUUAAUAUUUAGAACAUAAUAUGUAACGUAAUAUUAAUUUAAUAUACUAAUAUUAAAAUAAGAAAUUGAAUAUAUCAAUAUUAACAUUUAAAUGAUUACUAAUUAUAUAACAUAAAUUUAAUGUUUAAUAAUAUACAUGAUAAUUAAUGUAUCAAUUCAAUUAAUGAUAUACAUGUUAAUAUUUAAUAAUAUUAUUUAGUUUUAUAUAUUUUAAUUAAUAAUUUAUAUAAAAUAUGUUUUUAUUAAUAAUUUUAACUUUUUAAAAAAAUUCUAAAAAAUAUUUGAUAUUUAAUUUUUAAAUAAAAACAAAUAUAAAUAUUUAUAAAUAUUAUUCUAAAAAAUACAUUUUAUAAUAAAUUAAUUUACAUGAACGAGUUCGGUUAUAAAUACCUAUAUAAUAUUCAAUCUUUACCCAAAUCUAUUAUAAAUAUUAAUUUUUAAACUCAAAUUUAUCAUAAACGCAAUUUGCCUAAAUUUGUCUUAUCAGGGUUGGGUUGGAUUCAGGUAGAAUUCGGGUCGGAUACACGAAAAUAACCACCCGAUGCCAUUUCUAGUCAUGAUACGCUACACUCAACACCACCGGAUUUGAGUGAUUUCCAUCUGCUUUCCACUUUCACUUCACCUUGUUCCCGGAGACGCAUCAAUUCGAAAUUGAUCCACAGGCACAGCAAUACACACAAAGAUGACGGAGGCUGUGAUUAGGAAGAAGCCAGGAAUGGCGAGCGUGAAGGACAUGCCGAUUCUUCAAGACGGUCCUCCUCCUGGUGGCUUCCCGCCAGUCCGGUACGCCCGUCGGAUCCCCAAUAAAGGACCCAGCGCCAUGGCCAUCUUCCUUGCUGCUUUCGGCGUUUUUUCCUACGGGAUGUAUCAAGUGGGCCAGGGCAAUAAGAUCCGCAGGUAGGAGCUUGGCAUUUUACUAACAGUACAAUGUCGUUGAUUUUUUGGUGUUUGCUUUUAAAUAGCUUUUACUUUUUAGCUUGUCUGUUCAGUUUGAUUAUGAAAUCAGAAAUUUUGCUUGUUAUUACUGUUAUUAGCAUCAUCAGAUUGAAGAUUAUGUUUGUCAUUUUGAAAUAAUGAAUAUCAACGUGAAUAUCUCCAUUUGGUUUUUAACCCAAAUUAUUUUGAAUAUUUUUGCCGUCUGCGUCUGGGUUUUUUUGGGUUUUGAAGAGAAAAUUUUGAAGAGAAAAUUUCUCCAUUGAUGAAAGAAAGAAUUACAGAGGAAAAACUCAGCUUCUCAUCUUCUAUACUGCUAUUUAUAUACAAAUUCUAAAAAUAACUGCUAAACAAAUAACUGAAUUUUGAUCUAAUCUUUUCACACUACAACUCAGCAUAUUAACAACUUUGGCGCCAAGAAUAAGUUAUGAAUUUGAAUUCUGUUGCUGAGCUGUAACAGAAAGCAAGUUGAUGUUGAUGAUCACGGUGACAAAUUUGUGAUCUCGUAAUUAACGGCCGUGACGCUCUGUUGAACAAGGAUGAAUCAAAACUUGCUGUUAGGCAUGCUGUUACUCUGUUAUGCAUGCUGUUACUUCUAACUGCCUUGCUGAAUCAGUUGCAUAUUCCAACGGCCCCCUCUCAAGCUGGUGGUGGUGUGAAAGCAACUAACCCCAGUUUGGAUAUCAAAAACCUGAAUGUGUGAGAGGGUAAGGACUUGGUAAAGAGAUCUGCCAAUUGAAGUUUAGAUGGAACAUGAGAAGUAUAUUCCUUACAAUAUGGCAGUCUAUAUCCAGAUGUUUGGUCCUCUCGUGAAACACUGGAUUAGCUGCUAUAUGUAAUGCAGCUUGAUUAUCACACAGUAAUGGGAUGGGAAUAUCCGGCCUAGUCAAACUCAAAUACAAUAAUCUACCAACGAUUCUUCUGUAUUGAUCAGGCUGCUCUAAUAUGCUCCCCAUGGAAGGUUGUAACUUCAAUCCUUGAAUUAAAGGAGUACAAACUGGUUUUGCAUCGGAGAGUCCAGCUUCUUCAAUCAUAUCUGUAAUGAACUUAUGUUGAGAGAUAUAUAAACCAGCAGAGGAUCUUGCUAACUCAAUUCCCAGGAAGUAUCUCGCAUUCCCAAGGUCUUUUAUAGUAAAAGCCUGAUCUAGUAAAUGUUUGACCUCAGUAAUUAAUGCUUGAUCUGGUCCUGUAACAAGGACAUCAUCUACAUAUACAAGCAAAGCCACAAAAUUGUCACCUGAGCCCUUGGUAAAAAGACAUGUAUCAUGAAUUGAUUGAUGAAAUCCAAAAUCAGUCAAAGUUUGUGUCAGCAUUUUAUUCCACUGUUUGCCUGCUUGCUUCAGGCCAUACAGGGAUUUUUAUAACUUGCAAUACUGUCCUGGAGAAGCCUUAGUAUAUCCCUUAGGAGGUAUCAUGUAUAUAUCUUCCUCAAGAUCACCAUGUAAAUAAGCGUUAUUUACAUCUAACUGAUGUAAAUGCCAAUUCAAAGAGAUUGAAACAGCUAACAAUAAUCUGACAGUAACAAGCUUGGCUACAGGAGAAUAUGUAUCUGUAUAAUCUAAGCCAAGCAUCUGAGUGAAGCCUUUAGCCACUAACCUGGCUUUGUAUUUGUCUACUGUUCCAUCAGGUAAGUAUUUAAUCCUGAAGAUCCAUUUGCAAUCUAUUGGCUUCUUGUUAAUUGGCAAUGAAGUUAAAGUCCAUGUAUUGUUUUUCUCCAAUGCUUCCAAUUCAAUUUGCAUGCCAUUGAUCCAUUUCAUAUCUUUAAUAGCUUCCUUGUAAGUACAAGGUUCAUGAACUUUGGAUAUCUGUGCCUGAUAAGCUGAAUAAGGUUUGGACAAAACAAUAAGGGCUUUGGGAAAGAAGUCAGUGUUAGCAGUAUAAGCCGUAGUAUAAGCUGUAUUGCAAUUGGACUUCGACUUGGACAGAACAAAAUCAUCAUGCCAUUUGGGUGGUUUGGAUUGUCUGGUGCUUCUUCUUAGAGUAGAGGAAGUAUUAGCGGGAGGCACAGUAACUAAUUGAGAAUCAAAAGUUUCAGGAACAGUCAAAACAUUGUCAUUAACAGGUUGUACAAGAGAAUGAAUAGGAGUGUUAUUAUAAUCAGAUAUGGACAUAUGUGAGUCAUGGACACUAGAUGUGUCAGAUAAAGAGCAAGGAUCAUGAGAUGUAAUGUCAGUGGUGGAAUGAUCAUGUGUGACGGGGAAAACAAGGUAGGUUGUCAUUAACAAGACAAACAGGUAAACUAAAAUCUGAGACAGUGGUAGGCUUUGUUAAAUGAUAUGGGAACAUAGUUUCAUUGAACUUGACAUCUCUGGAAAUAAAGAUCUUUUUAGUUUUCAAAUCAUAUAUCUUGUAACCUUUUUGUUGGGGUCCGUAUCCUAAUAAGACACUUGGGAUUGCUCUCUCACUAAACUUGUUCUUGUGAGGAUAUACAUUUGUGGCAAAACACAAACAGCCAAUAACUCUGAAGUAAUCUAUGUUCGGUAUAUGACCAUACAAGAUUUCAAAGGGGCUUUUCCAGUUAAGGUUUUCAGUAAGUAGUCUAUUUAUUAUAUGUGUAGCAGUAAGUAAGGUUUCUGACCAGAAUCUAUCAGGGAGUUUGGCUUGAAAAAAAAUGGCUCUCGCCACUUGCAAAAGAUGUUUGUGUUUUCUCUCAACUAUGCCAUUCUGUUGAGGUGAAUAGACACAGGUCCUUUGGUGCUUAAUGCCAUUUUCUUGAAAAAGCUUAAGGCAAUCAACAUUGAGAAAUUCAGAACCAUUAUCAGUUCUGAUAGCUUUGACCCUUUUUGAAAAUUGAGUAGCUAUAUAUGUCAAGUAAUGUUUAAUGAUUUUUGAUACUUGUGAUUUAAAAGUGAUCAUGUAAAUCCAUGUAAAUCUGGACUUAUCAUCAACAAUGGUUAACAUGAAAUGAGCACCAGUAAUGGAUUUUGUCUUAUAAGGUCCCCAUAAAUCCAAGUGUAUUAAAUCAAAAGGAUAUUCAACACUUGAGUCACUUAAAAGGGAAAGAUAGCCUCUCUUGUUUCGCCAAAGGACAAACAGUACAACUAUUUAUUUCAUCCGCAACAGUAGGUAGAGUAGAUAUAUGCUUCAUUUUGGCUAAAGAAUUGUGACCUAAUCUACUGUGCCAUAACAAAGACAGAUGGUUCUUGUGAGAAAUACAAGUAUGUAAAGCUUUACUAGCUGAAGGAACAUGGAAGGAAUGUUUAUUUAGAUGAUAAAGUCUAUCAAUCACUAGUCCAAUAGCAAUACAUUCUUUACUCUACAAAUCCUGCACAACACAAUGAUCAGGAAAAUUGUUAACAUUCACAUUACAUGUUUCUGUUAAGGCAGUAACUGAAAUAAGGUUGCAAGUGAAGUCAGGUAUAUAUAGUGUAUUAUGCAAGGUUAUUCUAGGGUUCAAAACUACAUUUCCAAUAUGUGUAACAUGUUUAACAGAUCCAUCAGGUAGAUUAACAGGUUGUGGUAUAGGUAGUUUAUAGGCUGAGGUAAAAUUGGAAAAAUGGCAGGUCAUGUGGUCAGAGGCACCAGAAUCCACAAUCCAAUUACCCUGUGGGUAACAAGUGACACUAUUUGAAGAAUGAAACAAAGCAAUACCUGCAAAUGUUGAACUGAAAUGUGCAGCAGAAGAUUCAACAGCAUUAUCCUGUGGCAUUUUACCUUUAAUAGCUCUCUGCACUUCAAAUUGAAUUAGUUUGGAGAUAUUGUCAUUAAAUGCAGCAUUGGGUUCAGAAACAGGAUUAAUUUGCUCAAUUUUGACAUUGUUAUCAAAGGUCAAAGGUGUUUCAGAUGUCUGCUGCACAGAAUAAGCUUUGGCGACUUGCUUAUUCUUCUUAAAAUCACUAAACCAUUCUGGAUAGCCAUGAAGUUUGAAGCACUUCUCUCUAAGGUGUCCAGACGUCUGACAAUAAUCACAAAAUCUGUCAGAUUUUGGUUUGUUAUUAUACCUGGAGUUAUCAGUACUUGUAAAUCUUCUAGAUCCAGAAGAUCUUUGAACAGCCAGAGCCAUUGUUGUUUCAGUAGACUCGGGAAAUGCUAUCUGAAUUUCAUUUUGUCUUUCAAUGUUUAAAACCAUAGCAUAUGCCUUAGCAGAAGAGGGUAAUGGCUCCAUGAUCAAGAUUUGAUUUUUGACAUGAUCAUAGUGAUGAUUUAAUCCCAUAAGGAAUUGAAUCAAUUUCUCUAUUUCUUCAAACACAGACAGAGCCUUUGCUGCUCCACAGCUGCAACUAGGUAAAGAGCAUAAAACUAAAACUGAUAUCUCAUCCCAACAUUUCUUCAGUUUUGUAUAGUAUGUAGCUAAAGUAGAAGUACUUUGACUAAUAUUCACCAAUUCCUUUUUGAUUUGAAAGAAUAAAGGUCCAUGACCUUCACCAAAUCUAUGAGCAAUAUCAUUCCACAGCUCUUGAGAACUGCUGGUAUACAAAAAUCCUUCAGCAAUUUCUCUGGAUAUUGCAUUCAGUAUCCAAGAUAUGACCAUAGAAUCAACAGUCAACCACUUUUCCACAGGAGGUUUAGCAAUCUUACCUGUUACAAAGCCAAUUUUCUCCUGUGCUCUAAGAGCCAGUAACAUAGAUCUGGUCCAUGAGAGGUAGUUAGGGCCAGUGAGCAAAAAGUUCACCAAUUUCAGAUUAGGAUUAUCUGAAUUUGACAGGGACAAUGCAACAUCCGUUUCAGCUUGAGAAGCCAUUGAAGUUAGUAAUGAACAAAAAACAAUAAGAAGAUCAAGAAUGACAACAGUGAAGAAGAAAGGAAGUAGAUCAGAUUGAAAACAACACAGAAAUGCUCAGAUCCGCUCUGAUACCAUGAAGAGAAAAUUUCUCCAUUGAUGAAAGAAAGAAUUACAGAGGAAAAACUCAGUUUCUCAUCUUCUAUACUGCUAUUUAUAUACAAAUUCUAAAAAUAACUGCUAAACAAAUAACUGAAUUUUGAUCUAAUCUUUUCACACUACAACUCAGCAUAUUAACAACUUUGGCGCCAAGAAUAAGUUAUGAAUUUGAAUUCUGUUGCUGAGCUGUAACAGAAAGCAAGUUGAUGUUGAUGAUCACGGUGACAAAUUUGUGAUCUCGUAAUUAACGGCCGUGACGCUCUGUUGAACAAGGAUGAAUCAAAACUUGCUGUUACUCUGUUAUGCAUGCUGUUACUUCUAACUGCCUUGCUGAAUCAGUUGCAUAUUCCAACAGGUUUCUUUUACUCAACGCUACAAGUGCGACUUAUUUUAUUUUGUGCAUAUUUUUAAUCUUAUGAGACAUUAAAUUUGUUGCUCAUUCUGUCUCAUAAAAUAGGUUUGUUUCCAUUUUUUUAUCGUCCCAAAUUAUAGGCAACUUUCAUUUUUUUAUGAUAAUCUAGUGACUUAAUGUAUUAGCUUCCCAGUGCACCUAUAUUUAAUACGCAUUGAAAAGAAAAAAGGGUAAAAUUUAUUAGUUUCAAGGGUAAAUUAGGGAUGUAGCAAUAUAAGUGAAGGAUAUAUUAGAAAAGAUGAACAUAAAAUUUAUUGCUUUUAAGUUUUUAACUAUUUAACUAUAUUUUUCUUAAUCCAUGGUCUAUCUUUUUGGAUGGAAGGAUUUUUUUUUUUUUAAUUGGUGGUUUUAUCUUAUCAAUUGGGUAGAGUUUUUUACUUUUCAAAAUUUUAUUUCUUGCGAUUGGUUGUUACAUGAUAAGGGUAGAGUUAUAGUUGAUAUUUGAAGUGAUAAGUAUUAUCAAAUUGUUAAGUUCUACGAGAUUUAGUUGAUCUUCAAUUAUAUGAAUGGUUUGUGGUUCCUGAAUUUCAUUUAUCUUUGAAAUGGGCACUGGAAAUGUGGAGCAUCUAUCUGAAAAGAACAAGCACACAAACGACUAAUUAUGAGUUUCUGUAGGUUGAUUACUUAGUUUGUAUGGUUUUCCAUGAAGAACUGAUUGUGGUGUUCGUUCUGCUUAUGUGUACGAAGUUAUCCAAAUACAGCUUCUUUUUGGUGUAGCGGAAGGUGCAAUUUUGUGUAGUUAGUGGAGCUAGUUCACACUCAGAAUAACUGUUAUCUUUGAUCAAGUGAAGACUAAAACAAGCUGAUUUUUGUGAAUGACAGUGACAUGAAAGACUUUAAUUUUGAUGAUAUUUUUUCAUGGAUAACCUGGUGACUUCUAUUUGAGAAAAUUGUUUUGUUUCUCGGCUUUAAAAUGUUGGGGGAAAUUUUAAGAUUUUUAAUUAUUUAUGUGCCAGAGUUGGGGUGAUUGUGAUUUUUUAAGCUCAAAAGAUAAAGUUUAAGUAAAGAGAAUGGAGUUCGUAAAUAAUUUUGGCUUUGUCAGGGUUUUUAUCCUUUGUUGGCUUGGAGGCAGGCAACCUAGUACUUUGCAUGUGAGCAAUAAGUAGAACAUUAUAGAAACUAUAUUGAAAAAAAUGGAAGGUGUUUGCAUUUGAGAUAUUUAUUGUUGUAUAUCCUUUUAGUACUUUCUAUUUGGGAACCUAUGCAAGAAAGUCUUUAUUGAAGAGUAUUCACUUGGUAUAGUUACCAUCAUUUUUCAUGUUUUGACUCUUCAUCUUCAGAAUGGGGCAACGUAGUUACAUUACUUUUAGAGCAUGUGUUGUUUGGUGGAGCGAUAUAGAAGUUUAAAUUAGAUUUGCAGAGAAAAAGAUUUUUUGGAUUUAUUGAUUUUGAGAGUUUAUAGAUUGGUUGUGUGUGUUUUAAAGGUGAAUCAGGUUAAAAUUUUGAUCUUAACAAAAGCUACAUAUUUUGGGUAGUUUGAUUGCUUGGAUAAUACUUGGAAGUUUUUGCUUGUAGUUGUGCUAAUUUUAUUAUGUUUUUGAGCUUUUAAUUAAGUUACCUCUAACUGUCCUUUCUGAAGUAACAUUUGAUUCUUCAAUUUGAAUGCUCCUUUUCAUGUCUUAGUUUAUAGUUCUAUUUUAAAUUUAUGUAGGUUUGCCAAGAAACAUUCUGACUUGGUGGUCAAGGAAGGAUGAGGAUGUUAAUGCAUAUUUAUAUAAAAAAAUAGCAACUUAGGAGUGGAGAAUAUAGAGAAGACGAUGGAUGGAUGGAUGGCUGUGUAAAUUUAGGAGUGACUUGAUAGCUGAUAAUUUGAUGUACUCUGUGUUGCCAUAUUGUACAUGGAUGUUUCAGUGGCCAACAAGGGCUAAAGGAAAUUUUUGUUGAAUCUUUGUUAACAUGAUUGUUUCAGUCUAGUGAGUAUGGAUGCUGUAGCAUUGUUGGUGUAGCGUUCAAGAUCACUUAAGCUGGUCUUCUGCAGAAUAACUUCCGUAGCCAGGGCUAAUUGUGAUGGGGAAGCAAAUGCUGUUAAAGAAUUGGUGUUUGUAAUUUGCAGCUAAGAGUCAAAUAAAAAGAACAUCUGCCCCUGAAUGAUGUAAUUCUGAUGUAUUUGAGAUUUAAUCAAUAAUUGAUGCUUGUAUUUUAUUGGUCAAUGAUGGUUUUUGGUGAUCUAGAUCUUAUUCUUCAUGUGUUUGUGCUGAAAUAUUUUCUUGCCUUGUUAAUUCCAAAAUUUGAAUGUAACCAUGGGGCUCAGGGCGUUGUAUACUUACCGUCUAUGUGUUCCCUUUGAUCAAUUAAGGGAGGGAAUAUACGAUGCCUGCAAUAGAGGCUUGAUUAUUUGUACUUUGUAGGUGUGGUUCAAUUUCUAAUGAGGAAACUAUUGCAGUCUUUUGCUUGAGCCUUAUCCAGCUUAGAAAGAGUCAUGAUUAAAUUUGUAGCUUUAGAGAAGAGUUGUUCUCAGAUCAUGGCUGAGUGGUCUUCAUUUCAGCUAUAUCAUAUUUAAUGGUUCAUCUGCUGAUAUGUUGUAUCAUGUGUGGUUAAAGAGCCAGUUAAUGAGAGUACAGGCAUAAUGCCCAAGCUCUAUGGCUUGCUUAUGUGGAAACAUCCAAAUUAUAAUUUUAUUAAUUAAUUAUUUUCAUGCUGCAGGGCACUCAAGGAAGAGAAAUAUGCUGCUCGCAGAGCAAUAUUACCUUUGCUUCAAGCUGAAGAAGAUGAAAGGUAGUAGCUCUUUUCCCACUGCUGUAACUGACAUACAGUUCCUGUUUGUUCAUUGAAGUUAUUCCUACUGCCUGCUUUUUUUCUUCCUAGAUUUGUGAAAGAGUGGAAAAAAUAUCUGGAGUACGAGGCAGAAAUAAUGAAGGACGUUCCAGGUUGGAAAGUUGGUGAGAAUGUCUACAAUUCUGGGAGAUGGAUGCCCCCAGCAACGGGUGAGCUGCGCCCAGAUGUCUGGUGAUACAAUGUUGUCAGUGUGCAUGUUUAAUUUUUCAAGACUCAAGAAUCAUUGCUAUCUCCUCAUCCAAGUUUCUUUUGUCACUUGGUGGUGUUUCUUUUCUCAUGAAAUAAAAAUUUAGCUGAUAAACUCCCUAUAUGCACUGUUAGUACCGCCAACAGAAAAUGUCAUUUACUUCAUUAUCAUCUUUCCAUCAUUAUCUGUUUAAAGAUAAAAUUUUCAGUACAGACGUUUUGGCAGUAAAUACAUCUUGGUUGUUCCACUUCCUUCUUAUUGCUUACUCUGGGAAUUCCAUUUUUAUAAAUAUGAGAAUGCGUGUAGAAUUGAGUUUUGUUCCUUGGAGGAACCAAGCAGUGGAGAUGGCUGGUUUGGCGGACAGUGGUUAUAGGCUAGGAAAAGACUAACGGUAUGUUUAGUAUUACUGUCAAGCUGUCGAGAAAAAAACUUUUUUAAAAAUACUAUUUGGAAAUAUUUAAAAAUAAUUUAGUUAUAAAAACACUAAAAUAACAAAACAAAUUUUUUCAAAUUGUUUUUUUUCAACAUUUAAAAUGGUGAUUAUUCAAACUAGUGCCAAACAACCCCUUGAUCACUUGAUGAACACCUACUGAUAAACUGGAUUCCUUGUUAUUUGCAUAAAUUUCAGGUCUCUGUCAUCUGAAAGUAGUCAGUGGACUUCUUCCAUGGCGUUUUGAAUUGCAAAGGAGGGAUGGCUCUCCCCUACUCUCAAAUUCUUACUCUAAAAUCUUUUUUAGAUAUAUUGUUAGCUUAUUUAAAAUUCCCUAGCUAUUUUUUAUUUAUCUACUAUUAUUAUUCAAAUAGAUAUAAACCAUAAGCUUAUUUUAAUUUUAAAAAACCAUCAACAUUAAAUUUAUAUUGCUGAAAUAUUUUCCUUAAAUUAGUAUAAAUUUAAGUAUAUGGAAAAAGUAUUAAAUUAAUCCUGCAUUGGCUACUGCAAAAAGGAAGAAUAUUUUGAUGCCCACACUUUUAUGUUUUUUUUUGGAUUAAUCUAUUCAACAUUUAAAUUAAAAUGCUAUUUAUUAAUUAAUAUUUGAACUUAAAAUUUUAAAUCAGUUAAAACACAAAUUAAUAAUGUUAUUAUUAUAAAAAAAAUAAAAAUUAUUGAUUAUAACACUCAAAAUUUUAUUGACUAUACUCUUAUUUAGAGUAUAAGCAAUCAAAUUUAGAAUAUACAAUCAAUAAUAAAUUUAAUGAUUUAUAAUUUUUUUUAUAAAUAUCAGUAACAUGGUUAACCUAUAUAUUUAAUUGCCAUAAUUUUUAUAAAUUUAAUUAGAAAUAUAAAUAAAUCAAGUUAUUUAUGAAUUAUUUAAAUUUAAUUUUUUAUUUUUUAAAAUUUAAACUCGGAUAAAAAUUUAUUUAAUAAAUAAAUUAAAAUUAAAUUUUACAAUAUUUUACUCGUAAAUUUAGUUUGUUUCCAAAUUUAGUAAUAGACUUGCAAACGAACUCAUUAAGUAGAUUUACAAAUAAAUUUAUUAAACAUUCUGAAUUUAAUAUCACAAGAGAAAUAGACUAAAUAUCAAAUAUGCACUAAAUAUUGAAUUUUUAUGAGUUAAGUUUCAACAUUUUAAAAUUGAGUUUCACUCAAGUUAAUUACACUCUCAAAGCUUGCAAAUAUUAGAAUUAUUAAAAUUUAAAAUUUUAUUUUUUAUAAAUUUAUGAAUUAACUUAUAUAUAUAUAUUUAUUUAAUUAAAGAUAUUUAAUUUUUAAUUUAGUUAAAUUUUAUUUUUUAUAAAUUUAUGAACUAACUUAUAUAUAUAUAUUUAUUUAAUUAAAAAUAUUUAAUUUUUAAUUUAUUAAUUUCAAACUAAAAUUUAUUAUAAUUAUAAAUAAGUUGACUAUUUAUUAACCAUUCAAGAUUAUAUUUGAUUAAUACUUGCUCCUCCCGGUUUGUUUGCUAAAUAAAUUAAGUUUGAAUUAAUUAAUAUAUUUGAUUUAAAUUUUAAAUGGAUUAGUUUAAACUAAAAAAUUUUUGAUAAAUUAAAUUUAAAUUCUUUAAAUUUAACUUAGCUCGAUUAAUUUUCUCUUAAAUUUAAUUUUUUUUAAACUGAUAAUUAGAAUUUGGUUGAGUAAAAUUAAGACCUCUCAAAUUUUUUCAAAUGCACCUACCAUCGUACUAAACCUGUGAGCGCCCCUUAAAUUUAGUUAUUUAAUAGGUUUAGAAUACUGUUAUAUAUGCAAUAUAGUUUUAGUUAAUCCAUUUCGCCAUAAAAAAGUUUAAUACUGAAUAGUAUUCGGUUCAAAUUAAAAAAAAUUUGAUUAAACUCAAUUAAAUAAAAAUUUUAAUUUAAAUUUUACUUUAUUUAUUUAUUUUUUAUUUUUAAAAAUUUCUAUUGUUUUAAUUUAAUUUAAUUAAAAAAUUAAUAAAAUUAAAUCAAUGAUAAUAAUAUAUUAUUUUUGAUAAUAUAAAAAUAUUAAAUUAUAAAAUUGAAAUACUUCAAUUAAAUUUUAAAAUAUUAAAAGUGAGGUGUUAAAAAUAAAAAUUUAAUUAAAAAAUUUAACCAUUCAAAUCAAAUUAAAUCGAAUCAGAUUGAUUCGAUUCAAAUUAAAUUUUAACUAAAAUUAUAAGAUUUAAUUUUUACAAACUCUAAAAUUUCAAUUUUUUAUUUUUUUUCUUUUUUCACAAGACAAAUUUGACGGAAUGCUUAACCCUAAUGAGAAUUGCUAGAUGCAUCAUGCAUGACGAUCACAUCUGUCGCAUGGAAUUUAAAAAGUGGCAAGUAUUUGACAAUCUCUAUUUAACUAGAAUUAACAAGUGAUUACCCUAUUCGAAUUCCAUUUUCUUAUUGAAAUUUCCUUGGUCCAGGGACUUCUUUCGCUGUUGCUAAAGACCAAAUAUCCAUUAAUUAAUCUUUUCUCAAUUGAAACUCUUGUGAUUAAUUAAGUUGGUUGAUUGAGACCUAAACUUAUUGCCCAAGCAAGAACGAUAUAACUUCAUUGAUCACUAUAAAAAGUGAUUGAGGUUACUAAAGAAGACCAAGAAAGUUGACGAUCUCAGAGAUGGCUGAAGUUAAGCUACUUGGAAAAUGGUUAAGUCCCUAUAGUUACAGAGUGCUAUGGGCUCUAAAACUGAAGGGUAUUCCAUAUGAGUACGUAGAGGAAGAUCUCUCCAACAAAAGCCCUUUGCUUUUACAGUAUAACCCAGUUCACAAAAAGAUCCCUGUGCUCGUGCAUGGCGGCAAUCCAGUUUGCGAGUCCAUGAUCAUCCUCGAGUACCUGGAUGAGACAUGGCCUGAAAAUCCCUUGCUGCCCAGUGACCCUUAUGAAAGAGCUGUAGCUAGGUUUUGGGUUAAAUUCAUUGAAGAUAAGGUCUCGGGUUUAAGAUAACACUCUCUUUUGUUUAAUUUAUCUUUCUGAUUCUUAACUCGUCUUCCUUUAUAUGUUUGCUGCAGGGUCCCUCAGCGUGGAGGGUAUACCGAACCAGUGGGGAAGAACAAGAGAAGGCAGUGAAGGAGAGCUUGGAAAUGCUAAAAACCAUCGAAGAACACGCACUUGGUGAGAAGAAAUAUUUUGGGGGAGACAAGAUUGGCAUGGUGGACAUAGCCUGUGGUGGAAUUGCUUACUGGCUAGGACUUAUAGAAGAAGUAGCGGGCAUAAAACUUCUCGAACCUCACAAGUUUCCGAAGCUACAUGCAUGGACUAAAAAUUUCAUUGAGGUACCCAUUAUCAAAGAUAAUCUUCCAAAUCGAGACGAUAUGCUGGUUUUCUUCAAACAGGCAAGGGAGAAGUUACUGUCAUCUGUAUGAAACCAUGUUGAAAACACCUAACACUCAUGGUUCGUCCCUACGAGAGGUGCUUUUGAGUCUAUGAUUAGUUCUGUUUAUCAAAGAAAAAUCUUUUUAAUUAAUAAAAAAAGGAGCUUCUUCUGUAUUCAGAAGCUUCUUGGUGUUGGCUGUUCUUUAUUGGAAGAUUUAAUUAAUGGGUGUGGGUACUUUCUAUAUUUAUAUAUUUUUUUCCAGAGGAUAAUUAAUCAACAUAUAUUUCAGCUAGCAUUUUUGUCUAAAUUUAAUCUGUAUUCUCACGUCUGAGAAUCCAAAACAAGUACCAAAUUUUAAAGCACUAUGCCACAAUUUUAAAAAUAUAAAAUAAAAUAAAAAAUAAUUUAACGCCAUUUCAGAUGGUGUAAGACCUUUAUUUAAAAAAAAGAAAUUUCUAAUACUUUUAUAAAAGGUGUCAAGAGCCUGACAUUUAAAUUCUAAAUUGAUAAUUUUUUUAUUUUCUACGCUAAAUUAACAAAAAUUUUGAAAUUUCCAUUGUUUUUAAAUACGAGAAUAAGUAGAAUUGAGUUUUCUUCCUUGGAGGAACCAAGCAGUGGAGAUGGCUGGUUUGGUGGACAGUGGUUAUAGGCUAGGAAAGGAUUAGGGACCUGUUUGGCACUACUGUCAGAAUUGCUGUCAGAGAAAAAAAUAUUUUUUAAAAAUACUAUAUAGAAACAUUAAAGAAUGAGAGAUUUAUAAUUUAAUCCCUGAGUAUUGCCAUUAUUAAUAAGUCAGUUCCUGUAUUUUUAAAAAUCUAUUAAAACGUCCUUAUCUUUUCUCUCCGUCAACAAAAUAGUCAUUCCAUCUAUUUUUGCCGUUAAAAAUAUAGUAAAAAACUAAAUUACCCCACAUUAUUUUCCUCUUCCUUCUUCUCCUCCUUCCUUUUCUUCUUCAUCAAUUCUUCCUCCUUCUUCUUCUUCUUUUUCUUCUUUUUCUUCUUCUUCUAUUUUGUUGACAAAUAUAGGGAGGGACGAUAAGGACAUUUUAAUAGAUUUCUAAAAAUAUAGGGAGGGACGAUUUCGUUGACGGAAAGAAAUGAUGAGAAAUGACUAUUUCGUUGAUGGAAAGAAACGAUAAGAACGUUUUAAUAGAUAUAAUAAAAGAUAGAGACUAUUUUAUUGACGAAAAAAAACGAUAAGUACGUUUUUAUUUAAGGGUAAAAUUGGAUUUUAAAAAUUUUCUCUCUUCUCCUUUAUCUAAUUUUAACGGAAAAUGGGACGGAAGAACUAUUUCAUUGACAGAAAGAAAACAUAAGGACGUUUUAAUAGGUUUCUAAAAAUAUAUGGACUAACUUGUUAAUAAUGACAAUAUCCAGGGACUAAAUUGUAAAUCUCCAUUAAAAAAUAAUCUAAAAUUAUUUCAGACAUAAUUUAAUUAUAAGAACAUCAAAAUAAUAAUAAAAUUUUUUUUCCAACAGCAUUGUAAACAAUGUGCUUUUUCUCUGCCCGCAAUGCCAAACAACUCACUUGAUGAACACCUACUGCUGAACUGGAUUCCUUGUUAUUUGCAUAAAUUUUAGGUCUCUCUCGUCUGAAUGGCAAGAAGGGAUGGCUCUCCCCAUCACUCAAAUUCUUACUCUAAGAUCUUUUUAUGUAUUUUUAUCUUAUUUAAAAUUCCCUAUUUAUUUUAUUUAUCUAUUAUUAUUAUUCAAAUAGAAUAAAACAUAUAUAAGCUUAUUUUAAUUUUAAAAAAAUAUCAACAUUAAUAUACAUUUUAAAUUUUACAAUUUUAAAAUCUAAAUUAAAUGGUAUAUAUUUUUAUAUUUUUAAAAUAAAUAAAACCCUUAGAUUUUAAUUUAUUUUUUUACUUAACUUAAUAUAAGUCUAUUAUUGAAAUAAAAAUAAGAGUAAAUUAUAUAUUUUAUUGUAGCACAAAUAUUUCAAAAUAAAUAAAAAAUAUCACUUCCAAAUAAUAAAAAUAACAUAUAAAAUUAAAUUAAAUAAUGAUUGAAUAAUUUAAGAAAAAUUUUAAAUGAAUAUUUAGAGUUUAAAUUUUUAAGAUGAGAAGUAAAUUUUUGGAUUGAAAAAAAAUAUAGAAGAGGAGAGAUUAAAUAGUAAUUUUUUUAAAAAAAAAUAGAUUAAAUUGUUUGAUUUUAUAAAAUAUAAAGUUAUUUUCGUUAAGUAAUUUUAAAAUAAAAAACAGGGAUUUAAUGGAAAUUUUCCUCAUUUUAGGAAAAAUACUUUCACACCCCUAAAGAAUUUGAAAAAUUUCAGCUCUGCUGGCUCCGCCCCUGCAUGGAAAUUGCAAUAUGCAUCAUGCAUGACGAUCGCGUCUAUCAACUGAUAAUAUAGCUCAGCCCCCAAGUUUGACUAUCUCUAUUUAACUACAAUUAACAAUUAAUUAAUUGCCCUAUUCAAAUUCCAUUUUCUUAUUGAAAUUUCCUUGGUCCAGGGGCAGCUAAAGACCAAAUAUCCAUUAAUUAAUCUUUUCUGAACUGAAACUGAUCUUGUAAUUAAUUAAUUAAGUUGGUUGAUUGAGACUUAAGCUUAUUGCCCAAGCAACAACUAUAACUUCAAUGAUCACUAUAAAAAGUGAUGGAGGUUUCUAAAGAAAACCAAGAAAUCUCAGAGAUGGCCGAAGUUAAGCUACAUGGAAGAUGGCCAAGUCCCUAUAGUUACAGAGUGCUAUGGGCUCUAAAACUAAAGGCCAUUCCAUAUGAGUACGUAGACGAAGACCUCUCCAACAAAAGUCCUUUGCUUUUACAGUAUAACCCAAUUCACAAGAAGAUCCCUGUGCUCGUGCAUGGCGGCAAUCCAAUUUGCGAGUCCAUGAUCAUCCUCGAGUACCUGGAUGAGACAUGGCCUGAAAAUCCCUUACUACCCAGUGAUCCUUAUGAAAGAGCUGUAGCUAGGUUUUGGGUUAAAUUUAUUGAAGAUAAGGUCUAGAGUUUAACAUAAAAUAACACCCUCUUUUGUUUAAUUCAUCUUCCUGAUUCUUGACUCGUCUUCUUUGGCACUGCAGGAUUCCUUAGCGUUGAUGGUGUACGGAACCAGUGAGGAAGAACAAGAGAAGGCAGUGAAGAACAGCUUGGAAAUGCUAAAAAUCAUCGAAGAACACGCACUUGGUGAGAAGAAAUAUUUUGGGGGAGAUAAGAUUGGCAUGGUGGACAUAGCCUGUGGUUUAAUUGCUCACUGGCUUGGGGUUGUAGAGGAAGUAGUGGGCAUAAAACUUCUCGAACCUCACAAGUUUCCGAAGCUCCAUGCAUGGACUAAAAAUUUCAAGGAGGCACCCAUUAUCAAAGAUAAUCUUCCAAAUCGAGACGAUAUGCUGGUUUUCUUCAAACAGGCAAGAGAGAAGAUGCUAGCAUCUGCAUGAAACCAUGUUGAG